rnacentral:lncRNA from 1 species
AUAGAUUCUACCAGGAACUCAUCGACGAGCAUUUGGAUCCAAACAGAACAAAAUCAAAAUUGCCGCAACAGGAGGAUAUAAUUGAUGUUUUACUUCAAAUACGAAAAGAUCGUGGAUUUAAAGUUGACCUGACUUUGGAUAACAUCAAAGCAGUGCUCAUGGUGGAUAAUUUUAUAAAUAGUUAUAUGUAGACUCGUGCUUAGGCGCAGACUCAAAAUUUUGUGCAGAUGCCCAAUUUUACAGUGUUGUAAAACGUUUUAUAAUGCUGUAAAGUGCUCUUUGACGUCUCCGCCUGAGCAUGAUUAAUUUAAUAUAAUUUUAUUCGCUUUAACUAAUUUAAUAUGUAUAUUGUUUGCUUUGCAGAACGUAUUCGUUGCUGGAACGGACACAAGUGCAGCAACUGUGGUUUGGGCCAUGACCUACCUAACGAAGAAUCCUAGAGCAAUGAAAAAAGUUCAACUGGAAAUUAGAUCGUUGAUUGGGGGCAACAAAGGCUUUGUCAAUGAAGAUGAUGUUCAAGAACUACAUUAUCUUAAAGCCGUAGUGAAGGAGACAAUGAGAUUGCAACCUACAGUGCCGUUACUACUUCCAAGAGAAGCAAUUCAAAAGUGCAUAGUAGAAGGGUAUGAAAUACCAGCUAAAACACGUGUUUUUGUAAAUGCAUGGGCGAUAGGGAGAGAUCCUGAAGCUUGGCAGAAUCCUGAGGAAUUUUAUCCGGAGAGAUUUGUUGAUAGUUGUAUUGACUUUAAAGGGCAAAACUUUGAGUUAAUACCGUUUGGUGCUGGCAGAAGAAUUUGUCCUGGGUUGAAUAUGGGAAUUGUAACUGUGGAGCUUGCACUUGCUAAUCUUCUUUACAAAUUUGAUUGGGAAAUGCCGCCUGGAUUGAAGAGCCAUGACUUUGAUGUUCUGCCCGGACUUGCCAUGCAUAAGAAGAACGUUCUUUCUCUUCGGGCUAAGUAUCAUGUUGAGUAGUGUUAGAGUGCAAUUUAUGCACUAGUUUUGCAUUGUUUACUUCCCUUAAUAUCUAUGUUUUGCACCUAAUAAUAAUGAUUUACUUGUGUUUUACUUUUGUAGGUGCAAUUCUAUUGAUUGGUGGUAAAAUUGAGCUAAAAGAUGAUGUUUAAGGAUGAUUGUUCUCUUGGAGAAAUUAUGAGCGUCAGAAGAACUUUGUUGAUAAGGCGUGGGCGCGUGCUGUCAACUGCGGACCUGCAGUUUUUAGUUUAACGUGUUUUGUAUUUUUGGUUAUUUUUGUAAUUACGAAUUUAAUAUUCAGAUAUUAGUAUUUUAUUUUAAAUAGAAUUCUAAAAGAGAAGAGAGAGAGAGUAUUUAAGGGAGGAAUCUAUUGUGAAAAAGGGGGAUUUUGGAUUGGAGAAAAAGAAAGAAACCCUAGAUCUAAUUUUUCUCUUCUCUCUAUGAAGAACUAAACCUAUUUUUCUGGUUGAAGGAUAAUGAAGUUUUGAUUCAUCACUACUGUGAGAUCUUUCUUAUGCUUUAAUUGUUUUAGUACUUUUUGGGUAUUUGUUUAUUCUCUGAAUUAUUUUCAUGAUUAUGUUUGUUAAUUAGGUAAUUGGCCACUAUUUAAUUAUCAACUUAAUCUAUUGUCAAUUAAAGGAUUCAUCGUAUGAAGAAUUUAAUGUUUGUGACAAAUAACAUAGCAGAGAGUUGUGUUGUGAGAAUAAACAAUCUAAUUUAAAUGAAUCAUCAUAUGUGUUAAUUAGGAUUUGGGUCUCUCUGAUUUUUCAGGCUGUCAAUUGAUUAAAUCCUAUGAUCGUAUCUAGGGUUGUCUAUUGUUUAGGGAAAUAUCCAACGGUCGUACCUUGGUUAUUGACUAGAUAAGGAGAGAUUGGCUAUUAGAGGGUCUCAAUAGUUAUAACCGGUCUAUUCAUAAGUAAUAAUAAUCUAUAUUUGAAUCAAUGAUCAGUAGUCGAAUCAAGCUUAGUUAAUUCCUUCAACCAGAGCUUUCUCCAAUUUGAAUUACAACUUUAAUUUGCAUUCUUGUUAUUUAAUUUGAUUUUUAUUAUUGUCUACAAUUCCCCCAUUUUACGUUUUACGUUUCAAAAGGAUUUAAAUAAUUACCGAUCUCUGUGGACACGACCCUGCUCAAUCACUAUACACAAUUUAUUUAGAGUAGGAAUUUAUUUUUGUUGGCUUCGACACCCAUCAAGUAGGUAAAUUAAGGCACCUCUAUCAAUAAGAAGGUAAAUUAAGGCACCUCCAUUAAUAAGGGUUUGAUCUAGCUAAAGGAAAUAUAUGUUAUGCGUCCUUAAUUGUGCUUCUCAAUGUUUUAUUUCUUUCUUCUUAUGUAUAAUGGAUGUUUACGCGAAUGGUUUUUAGUAAGUAAUUUUCUUUUAGUUCAAAAUUUUGGGAGGUAAGGGCUAGAAGAUAAUAGGGACUCUGCCCACUCUCUUAUACCUUAAAAAAAUGAUAUGAAUGUCAGUAUCAAUUUAUCACGUUUAUUUUGUCUUACAUUUUUCUCUCUUGUUCGCUGUUCAGUAAAACUAAAACAACACCAAAACUUAAAUAUUUUCGCUAUAUCACAAACAGCUUUUCUUUUCUUNNNNNNNNNNNNNNNNNNNNNNNNNNNNNNNNNNNNNNNNNNNNNNNNNNNNNNNNNNNNNNNNNNNNNNNNNNNNNNNNNNNNNNNNNNNNNNNNNNNNNNNNNNNNNNNNNNNNNNNNNNNNNNNNNNNNNNNNNNNNNNNNNNNNNNNNNNNNNNNNNNNNNNNNNNNNNNNNNNNNNNNNNNNNNNNNNNNNNNNNNNNNNNNNNNNNNNNNNNNNNNNNNNNNNNNNNNNNNNNNNNNNNNNNNNNNNNNNNNNNNNNNNNNNNNNNNNNNNNNNNNNNNNNNNNNNNNNNNNNNNNNNNNNNNNNNNNNNNNNNNNNNNNNNNNNNNNNNNNNNNNNNNNNNNNNNNNNNNNNNNNNNNNNNNNNNNNNNNNNNNNNNNNNNNNNNNNNNNNNNNNNNNNNNNNNNNNNNNNNNNNNNNNNNNNNNNNNNNNNNNNNNNNNNNNNNNNNNNNNNNNNNNNNNNNNNNNNNNNNNNNNNNNNNNNNNNNNNNNNNNNNNNNNNNNNNNNNNNNNNNNNNNNNNNNNNNNNNNNNNNNNNNNNNNNNNNNNNNNNNNNNNNNNNNNNNNNNNNNNNNNNNNNNNNNNNNNNNNNNNNNNNNNNNNNNNNNNNNNNNNNNNNNNNNNNNNNNNNNNNNNNNNNNNNNNNNNNNNNNNNNNNNNNNNNNNNNNNNNNNNNNNNNNNNNNNNNNNNNNNNNNNNNNNNNNNNNNNNNNNNNNNNNNNNNNNNNNNNNNNNNNNNNNNNNNNNNNNNNNNNNNNNNNNNNNNNNNNNNNNNNNNNNNNNNNNNNNNNNNNNNNNNNNNNNNNNNNNNNNNNNNNNNNNNNNNNNNNNNNNNNNNNNNNNNNNNNNNNNNNNNNNNNNNNNNNNNNNNNNNNNNNNNNNNNNNNNNNNNNNNNNNNNNNNNNNNNNNNNNNNNNNNNNNNNNNNNNNNNNNNNNNNNNNNNNNNNNNNNNNNNNNNNNNNNNNNNNNNNNNNNNNNNNNNNNNNNNNNNNNNNNNNNNNNNNNNNNNNNNNNNNNNNNNNNNNNNNNNNNNNNNNNNNNNNNNNNNNNNNAUGAAAGUGCCUACCACUGGAGCAAGAAGAAAUUUUCAGUAAAUUAUAAAUUAAAUAAUUAUGAAAGGAUUGAUUUUUUCUAAAGGUUUUACUAGGUGCAACAAUAUUGAAUUACCUUAUUUAACUUAAAAGAUACCAUUGAUUGAUUACAGCAUAGAUAUAACUUACGAUAUCUUAAACUCUAUAAUAUUUAUGAUCCCAUUCUAUCUUAUACACAAACUUGAAACUUAUGUUAAUUAAGUCUCAACUAUUUUAAUCAUUCUCAUUGAAUCAAUUUAGAGAUUGAUUAUCGAACUAGCUGGUAUUUUAUAGUUAAGUAUUUAAAGAAAUAAUAUCUAUGAUUGAUCAUAAUUAUUGUUGAAUCAAUUUGGAGACUAGCUAAUUUUCAAAUUAAUGUAAUUAUCUAGUGGUCAAUUUUACUAAAUAGAGUCUAAUAGUUUUCAUAAUUGUGGAACAUGGAACGUAUACUUCAUACUUAAAACUUAUUGCAUAUAUUAAAAAAAUUAGAUGAUUAGUAAUUAACAUUUAAUUAUAGUUGAAAUAUUGAUUAUUAAAUUAGUCUAAUUGUCUAAGAACAGUCAUACAAUUAAUUUCAACAGAUAACAAGAACUAUUGCAAUAAUUUAUUUAUAUUUUGAAACAUAUCUCAACUAUGAAUUAUUAAAACUAAUAUAGCUUCUUAGUUUUUACGCCAAUAUCUAUUUUCGUCUUUUGUUUAUCUUAUUAAUUUAAAUUUAAAAUCUAUGUUAAAGAUGUUCUAUCAAUCAAUUUACGCUAUUGCAUUAAUGAGAUAAAAUUGUUUUGCAAUUAAUCGAAUCGUAAGCUAAUAAUUUUCAAUAUUUAUUAUUAUUUCAAUAUUUAUUAGUGUGAAAUAACUAACUUAGGAUAAAUAAAUAAAUAGAUUGAUUUUUUCUUAAAUUUUAAUAUCUUGUAUUAUCCCUAUUAACUAUUUGGUCCACUUAAUUACUAUAAUGCCCCAUAAAUAACAUAUUUUUUAUUGCAUAACUGAUUAGAACUAAUAUUUUUUCGACUGUAAUUUAUUUAUUUUAAACCGUUUUUACCCCUAAAAAAUAGUGUAUUUGUAAUGGUAAUUAGUUAGUUGAAAUUGAUCUUGCAAAUACAACUGCUAUCGAAAAUACUCUUUUCUACUACUUAAGGUGAUCAUAAAUAUUAAUCAUUAGUCACAUGUCCAUACUAGUUUUCAAUCUAUAUUUAUGUACUUAUGAUCGUCAAUUUAUCACCAAAUAAGCAUAUUUAUGGCGGCCUAUUGGAAAAAGUGUAUUUCUAACCUGGGUAUUAGCGAUUACCAACGACUAAUUAAGGCCACUGGAAAAACACAUUUUCAACAGCGUAACACUUGUUUCAAUUGUAUUCAGCAGUCUUAAAAAAUUAUUUUUAUGACCAACUGUAGUUGCCUGGCGAACAUAUUUACCACACAUAAAAACUAAAACAUCCGAGAUUUUUCUUUAGAUACUUCUAUAGAUAUUUUAACAUUUUAGAUUACAAUAUUUUUCAACACUUGAUUUUAUCAUUAAUUGUUGACUAUGGUGACGACAAAAAAUCUAUUUCAUUGUGCUAACCUCACAAGUGAAAAGGACUUCACAAGAGUACAAAACAGAGCCUUGAUCUAAUAAUAUUACCGAAUAUAGCAUUUUGUUUCCUUAUAAAUGCAGAGAGGUUCUGUCUUUGCAGUGAUUAAGGCAAGGGCAUAAAAGAUAUUAAUGGCUUUACUUAUCGUCAUCAAUCUCCUUCUGUGUCUCUCAAUCUUCGCCGUCUUCUUUGUUUUGCAAAGGCACAUAACCUCCAGAAAUAAUACUAAAUUACCACCAGGCCCGCAGGGCCUUCCCUUCGUUGGUAACUUACACCAGCUUGAUGUUUCAAAGCCUCCAGUGUCAUUUUGGGAACUGUCAAAAAAAUAUGGGCCCCUCAUGUCCUUGCGUCUUGGUUUUGUGCCAUCCCUAGUAGUUUCCUCAGCAAAAAUGGCUAAAGAGAUAUUAAAAACCCAUGACCUUCAAUUUUGUAGCGGGCCAGCCUUGGUAGGACAACAAAAGCUUAUCUUACAAUGGUCUAGAUUUGGCUUUUUCACCCUAUGAUGAAUAUUGGAGAGAGAUAAGAAAAAUUUGUGUCAUUCAUCUCUUUAACUCUAAUAGGGGACACAAUUUUCGGCCCAUAGAGAAGAUGAAGUUUCAAGAAUGAUUGAAAAGAUUUCAAAAUUAGUUGUUGCUUCUAAGCCCGUAAACUUAAGUGAGGUAACGAUGUCUCUUACUAGCACCAUUGUAGUGAUUGAACGUGCUUAUAGGCUUGCAAGUGACAACCACUUCCCAGGAUCUCUAAUCAGGUUUUAACAAGUUGCACAAUGAGAAGAUUAAACCCAGAAAGAAUCAAUUGACACAAGAAAAAUCUUCAGUGACAUAAAGGAUCAAGAAACUAAAGAGAACAGAAUCAAUCACAACCAACACAAAGAACAAUUACGUGGUUCAGUUGCACCAACAAUGGCACAACCUACACCCACGGGAGAAGCUUUCUGGAGAGCUUUUAAUGAACAACAAUGGAGGAUCUUUUACACAGCUUACACACAAGACUACAGAGAACAAUUUUUCCACUCUCUCUAAUCUCUCUCUUGAUUUGUUUUCUCACACAAUCGAAUCAAAACUGUUACAGCAGUCAGUUUUAUAGCUACCAGAGCAACAAACCAGCAGCCCAGAAUGCACAGCUUGUUGACACGUAGUAUAUCGGCUUUACCGAACUGGCCCAAGCAAGAUCACACGACCAUCACGUGUAUCAUCACUUAAAGUUUGGUUUAAACGACAUAGAGACACUGCCGUUUUGAAGCAUAGUAUUAGGGAUAGCAAUGGGGAGGGGAGGGGAGGGGACCAAUCUCCCCGUACCCAUUCCCGAUAUUUUGCGUAUGUCUCUGUCUUUUCCCCGUCUCCAUCAGAAUUACUUAAGAGAAUUCUCAUCUCCUCCCUGAAUAAUAAUAGGGGAUCCCUGAGGAUCCCCGAUCCCCGAAUAAUUAAUAUAUUUUUUUGUUUUCGAUUUGAGUUAAUCAUAUUAAAAUAAAAAAUUCAAAUAAAAGUAAAGUUCGAAAAAUAUCUUACAUUAAUAUCCAUUACAAAAGUCACAUACAUUAAAUUAGUAAGUAACGCAUCAUGCAAGGGAUACAAACUUCUUUUACAAACUAUCAUGAAUAAAUUAAUAGUCUAAUACAAAAUUGUUACAAAUAAAAUUGAAUUUAGAUUCAAAAUUAACUUUUUCAAUGGUGGCGUUGGCACUUUAUAAAUGUGGACUAUUCUCUUUACAACACAAUAGUUAAGUCGGAGCAAAUCAAGAGCAAAUAUUAGAUUAGAUAUUAAAAUUGUGAUUCGCUAUGGGCAAUUAUAACAUCUAAAAAUAAAUAAAAAAUAGAUUUAAGUUUAAAAUAUUUAAUGAAUAUUAAAAUUAAAACAAAAUAUUUGGUCUAAUAGAAUCUAUCCGGUCUUUUUAAUGUCCUAAAUAAAAAUUUAGGACUUUAAUUAGUAAAUUAGACCUAAAAGUUUAAUAAUAUAAAUAUUUUGAUAUUUGUUAUUUUUACCUAUUUUUAUAAUUUUAUAAUUCAAAUUUUAUUAUUUAUUUACUUGUAAUUUUAAAAAAUAACAAUAAAAAUUAAAAUUAAAAUUAAAAUGGGAAAAUGGGUAGGGGAUGGGGAUUCCACCUCAUCUUCAUCCCCUCCCCGAAUAAGAAAUUAGGUAAAAAAAUUUCUCUGUCCCUUGCCCGAAUAAGAAAUUGAGUAUGAAAUUAUUCUCAUACCCUCCCCGAAUAGGAAAAAUCUCCGAAAGUACCCGUCCCCAUGGGGAUUUUUGCCAUCCCUAAGUAUUAUUAAGCAAACAAACACGUGCUCUCCCCGUGAUCUUUAAUGCUCAUAAGUCAUAACGCACCAAAACGCUGCCGUUUUAUAUCUGACGGGUUUGAUUCACCAGCAGGCCUCACAACCAUUAUUUGUAGAAUUGGUUUUGGCAAGAGGUACGUGAAGAUGAAGCAACAAGUGAAAGAAGUAGAUUCCAUGCCUUGCUUGAUGAAACUCAAGCCUUGCUUGUAAGCUUCUUUGUUACAGGUUAUUUUCCUUUCAUAGGCUGGAUUGAUAAGCUCACAGGAAUGUUGCAACGCCCGCAAAAUAACUUCCAAGAAAUCGACAGUCUACCAGGAACUCAUAGACAAGUUUCUGGAUCAAAACUGAACAAAAAUAGAACAGCUGCAACAGGAGGAUGUAAUUGAUGUUUUACUUCAAAUACGAAAAGACCGUGGAUUUAAAGUUGAUCUGACUAUGGAUCACAUCAAAGUGCUCACGGUUGAUAAUUUUAUAAAUAGUUAAUUAUCUCUAAUUCAUGCUUAGGGGCGGACUCAAAAAUUUUGUGCAGAUACCCACUCUUACGGUGUUGUAGAACAUUUUACAACAUUUAAAGUGCUCUCUGAUGUUCCCAUCUGAGCAUAAUAUUUACUAAGAAAAACAUGUAUAUAUAGUUGACUGAAAUAGAAUUCAAGGAAGACAUUACAUAAUACGAAUUUGAUUUAUUUCGAUGGAGUUUGAUUAAUGAAAGUAUAUGAAAGUGUAAAGAAAGUGGUAAAAAAAUUUGGUUAUGUAAAAGUUAUAUAGGCAACAUAUUAUUGUCAUAUUCCUAUUAAGGUACAUUUGAUUGUGAUGAUUAUGCAAAUAAAAUAGAUCCAUAUAUGUCUUUAAAGAUGGUUUUGACUUAAACUCGUGGAGUGUUGAGAAGGAAAGAAAAAAAAAGUUUUGUACAAGAUAUUUUAGAUAAUACUACUGAAAAAUUAUAAAAUAUUUUAGAAAGUAUCUUUUACAAAGAAGUAUCUGAUUUUUUUUUUUAAAAAAAACAACAUUAUAAGUUUCUUAAUUGAUGAUACAUUUUUUAGAAAAGCCUCAUAUACGUCAUUUGGAUUUAAUUGUAUAUGAAGGGUCAGUUUAGUAAUACUGUAAUUUUUAAAAUAAUUGUUGUUAGUUCUGCUGUAAAAAUAAUCAAUUGUAAAAAAAAUCAAUUAACCGUUUAGUGAAAUUUAUUGUCAAAAGUGCUGUAAAUUUUAAAAAAUAGUCGUAUGUAUUUAGCAUAACCUAUAAACUUAUUUAAAGAUUUAUAAAUUUACAUAUACUAUUUUUUUAUUGUGUAUAUAUAAUAAGUGCUAAUUAAAAUAAAUAUUUUUAGCAAAAUUUUGAAAAGCCAAAAGUAAUUUUUUUUAAAAAAUGUUAAAUACCAAAAUUAACUUUUAAGUUUCAAAAUUAAUUUUAAGUCUUCCAAAACUAUUCAUUUUUGUCAAAACACGCUUACCAAGUUCCAAAAUCUUGUUCAACAAUGAUAUUCUCACAAAAGUGAGUACAAAGCUUAGUUCAACAAGGACCUUUUUGCAAAUUAUUUCAACGUUUUAUGCUCUUUUGGAAUUUAUGAAUUUUAUUGAUUUUGAUUGAUUGGAGCAUUUCUCCUUCCAUCUCUUCUACAUCUAUUCUUAAAUUUCUUCAAAGUUUUAACUACAUCUUUGUAAAGUUCUAAAUGAUUAUCUUUUUCAUAGAAAUCUACAUGUAAAUUAAUCCCUGAAUUUAUAAUCAUUAGUCUUCUUUGAGUCAUAGACCAUAUCUUUUCUUCUAACAUUUCUAUAUAUAUUCCUAAGUUAUCUUCCUAAUUUAGAUACAUUCUAUCAAAGCUUUCGCAUAUAAAUUGUAAUUUGAGGUCUGCAUCUUGUAUUAACAUCUCUAUAUUAUUAUUAUCCAUUUUUUAUACUCAAUUUUGAGUUCUAUUAUUAGCCUUGCACCUGUCCUGGAUUAUUUCGAGGGUAGAUAAAAUUAAUUCUAUUAAUGCUAUCCUGUUUUCUUCUUCAAAUGAAUCGAAUAUUUCUAGAUCAUUAAUUCCUUUUAUUUCUUCAUUGUUUGCAGUUAAUCUAGUUUUAACCACAGAAAUUGUAUAAGCAACUUGAUAUUCUUGACUAAAGUCUAAAUGAUCAAUUGCAUCUAGAAAUUUAUUAACAAAUCUUUCCAUUUUUAAGAAAUUGAGUUACUCUUAUCACUUCCUAUCUUAUAACAUCUCUGAAAGUAAACAAGGCCUAACAUGCUUCCAUUUGUGGCUAAAAUAAAAGAAGAGUUCAUAUCACUAACCAGUGUACUAUCUCUCAGAAUUUUAAAAUAGACUCACUAAUUACCGCCAACCAUAGAGAGAUCCAUGGUUGGCACCGCCAUAGCUCCACAAAUCAUACAAGAUCACUUCAGUGAUUGUUCCACACAGUCCAACGUAACACACAACAAACUGACCUAAUAGGAUAUGUCUAAGUGAUUUCCUUGCAGUUGUCUCUGGAAGAGUGCUUAGUAAUAGAAAAUCUUCUUCAUUUAGCACAAGUAUUGGCAUGUAAGUUUCCUGGUUAGUUUUCAAAGGAUAUAUAAGAUAUUUGGAAGAUGAUAAUUUCACUCAAAAGAGGUUUAUUUAUUUCAUUAUUGAAAUUGUUUACAGAUGAUGGUUACAGAGAAUACAAAGAUAGGUGAAGGUUAGACAUAUGAUGUAUUUUCCUUCUUACAUGUUUCUAUUUAUCCUCUUAAAGAGAUAAGGUUAUCUCUUUUACAUGACAUAUGUUUAAAUUUCCUAGUGGAUCGUGGAUUCCCUUUUGAUAAGGUGACCCCUCUUCUUUUUAUCAUUAAAGAUAGUGGUUGUCUUCUUUUUCUAAUGGCAGACAACUUUAUCUUGUUGUGGUGAGCUUUAUCUUUUUGAAAUCUUUCUUUUUGAAUUUUUUAUGAUUUUAGGAUAUCAUUUUUUAUCUUUUUCAAUGGGCCCUGUCACAUGUCAAUUAUUAGAUCUUCAUCUAAAGACAUUUCUUCCCCCAUAAGAAUCUCCUUUUGAUCCUUCAUCAUAGUAGCCACAUGAUGACUGAUACUUUAGCACCUUGCAUAUCUCGUGGUGCAUCUAGAGACAUGUCUUCUCCGCUAGAAUCUUUUUUUGAUCCUUCGUAGUAGUAGCCACAUGAUGACUGAUGCUUUAGCGCCUUGCAUACCUCAUGGUGUGUUAGUAAGCUGGAUUCCAUGAGAUUUUCGUAUAUUCUUUUUUUCUUUUUAAAUAUGCCAUGUCUGGCUAAAAUACUUUCUUUUCUACUCAUAGAAAAUAUUAUAUGCUCUUUUGUGGCUUCGUGAAGCCAUAUUUUCUCCUUACUUAUCUUCUUAAGAGAUUUAUAGAGGACUUUCAUUCCUAUGGUCCUUUUGCUAGUGAGAGCUUUGGGCUCGAAUAAUUCAGGAUGAUAAUCAUUGUAAACUUUAUUAUCAUUUUAAAUUUGUCCGAAAGUAUCUUUUUUACCAAUAAUGUUUGUAAAUCAAGAAAUAGUUAAAAUUCUGCUAGGUGAAAAUACAAGUUUGGAAUUUUAUUUUUGAGUGCAGACGAAUUUUAUUUUUUAAUUGUGGCUGAGUUAGGUAUAGGCAAAUCUAUACUGAAACAGUAAAACUCACUCAUUGCCAUCCGUAAGAUUGCUAUAAGGUUAAAUAAAUAAAAGAAAUUAAAAGAAAAUUUUGUCUGAGGAUACAAAUAAAAUCGGAGCCUUAACAAUCUUCGUUGGAAAAGAAAAGAAGAAAAAAAGAAAGAAACACCAUACGCAUCCUUUACUCCAAUUAAUUUUUCUUUUAAAAGUCUAUUGUAGGUGUAAAUUACGGCACCUCCACCAAUAGGGGUGCGAUCUAAACGUAAUAUACAUUAUAGAGAUUGCACGUGCAUCAUCAAUCCUGCAUUCAGUGCUUCUCAUGUUUUCUUUCUUUCUUAUGUGUAAUGAACGUUGAUGUCCAUGUGCUCCCACAGUUUUAAGUAAUUUUUUUGCUUAUCAAAAAAAAAAAAAAAUUGUUUUUUUGAAUUAACUAUCCAAGUCCGAUAUAUCCGAGUGGGUAAUUGCACAUUAUCUAUUCCCUGAUGUCACAUAUUUUUGUCUUUCACUGUCCUUAAAUUACAAUGAAAUGGAAUAAUAUUGGCAACAGUAGAAAAUAUAAUAAGUAAAAAAUUUAUAAAAAUAAUGUUUUGUUUUAUAAUCAAAAGUUUAAAUAGAAAUAUGAAAGUAAAAAGUUAAACACAAAAUAAAAUAAAGAAAAAUAAAAGAAUUUUUUAAAAGGAGAAAUAUAUUAUCUUUAAUUAGACAAUGUUUCAUUUUAAAUAAGAACUAUAAUUUGUCAUUUUGUUAAAUUUGAUUUAGUUUAAUUUGAUUGUAUUUAUUUCUUGGAUCAGGGAAUGAUAAUGAUAUUCAUUCCUUAUUGGUAGUGCUUACUUGCAAAAAAUAUGGAGGAAUAAGAAUAGAUUUUGGGUGGAGUCCAUAAAUUUGAAAAAAAAAAAUGAGAAUCUCAUUGGCAUGAGUAGAGGUGGGAAUAAAAAUUGGGGAAUAAAUUUUUAUCUUUAAAAAAAUAAAAAUUCAUUUUUUUUAGAUCAUAUUAAUAUGAAAUAAUUAUUAUUAUUGAUGUUAUUAUUUAUACUAAAAAUAUUUAUUAUUUAUUUUGUUAGUGAACAAAUACAUAACUGUAACUAAGGCCAUAUAAGUAUCUUACAGUAAUUCAUUACGAUUAUAAGAUAAAAUAGACACAUCAAUUAGAAUAUAGUUUAUUCUAAUUUUGAUUCUUACAGUUCAAGUAUAAACUUAUUCUAGUUCUUAUUUUUCAUUUUAAUUCCAGUAUAUUUCGAUAUUAGCCUAUUCUAAUUCCUAUCUAUUCUGAUCCUGGAAAAAUAAAUGCAUCUAAUUCAAUUAUAAUAGGGGCAUUAGAGGCUAAAUUUAAACUUAAAGAGUAGUUCUGAUAUUAGACCAUAUUUUAAGGACAUCUAUGAAAAUAUAAUCAACAAAAAAACGGUUACACCAUCAUCGUUUUGUUGGCAACAAUAACGUUGAAGUGGUCUGUCUCCUUGCGAGUUGUGCAACCCCUUCGGUCGCAAGGAGAUGCCAAUCUUUUCAAUUUGUCGAUUUGCUUUCCUAAAGCAAUAAAAUAAAACUCAAAGCCCCACUUCAAAACUUGUGCAAGAAGGAGAUGUAACUGACGUAUGCUGUCUUUCCAUUUCUUGGUGCAUGUAUAUAUAAGUCUGAAUAUCAGCUGAGUCGGCCAACACAUGCAAGCAAUUUUAGUUUUUCGGUCAGUAUUGUUUCCUUGUCUUAUGAAUUUAUCUUCAAAUUUAUUAUAUUUUCACUUCAAUUAUGUUUCUGGGUACUCGUUAUUUGCUUUUCUUUGAUGAUUUUGGUGUUUUUCUUUGGCUCUUUUUUUAACUGUUUCUACUGGUUAAUUUAGCUACUUAGAUAAAAUUAUUUGCUAGAAUAACUUAAUCUUUUGCUAUUUUAUGUUCGUUUUAUGUCGAUUUAAUUCGUUGUAUCAAAUGUUAUCACAAAUGAUGCAUGAGUAAUUUCGUUAAGUAGGAUAUCUUUAACCCCUUUUUUUUUCUUUUUUCCUUUUUAAAUUUUUUGGUCUAGAGAAUGUUUAUUUUGGUUCAAUCUUGUGUUACUAAACUGUUGCGUUCAUUUUCGCAAGUCUUUUUGUUGCUGUUUAUGGGGCAAUAGUGAUUUCGUUUCACAAAAUUCUGUAAAUACUUAUUAUUCUUAGUUUGGUUUAAGGUAGUGCUAAGUUAAUUUAUCAUAAUGGCUUACAUUCCACCACAUAAGCGACACUGGAAGGACCUACAGAGGCCAUCUCCAGCUCCACAGAUGCUUGUGCCUAAAUUCAACAGAAGCUUAAACUUGGGAUUGCCCAAGCUUAAUGAAGACGGGAGUGGAAAUCUUGUGCAUGCAGAGCAUGCCGUAUUCAGGUGGUUUGCUGUUGGCUUGGAUGGUGAUAGCGGCUUUCCUUCUUCUUUCCAAUCUGAGCCGUCCUCAGUGGAGCCUGUUGAGCAUAAAAGAGGAGUAAAGCCGUUAGUUUUAGUGAACAAUAAUCUGGCUGAAGGUUAGUGUUCUACCUUUUUUGUUUUAUCUUAAUGUGUUCUACUUUCGUUCUUGAUUUAUGUCUGGUGUUAACUUUAGUUAUGUGGACAUUUGGCUUUCUGGUUGGCAGACGAUGAUGAAGUGGGGGGAAAUAUAUCAAGAAGCUCAGGGAAACCGGUACCAGAAAAUGUAUGGCCAGAUGUAUUGAGUGCUUGUAAGAUUGUCAAGAACGAAUAGGAGAAAAAGCCAACAUUAGUUGCUGGAUUUGGCAAAGUUCAUUUCCAUCGAUAUGUGAUCUGGUUUCCAUUGCUGCUAUAGCGUGAAUGUUUUGUGUUAAAUCAUUCCUCUCCUUUCUUUCGACUUUGAACUUAAAGCAACAAAAAUGCAUAUUCAUACUAAAAUCUGACAGAAAUCUUAUGUUAGUAUUACUUGAUUUCUGGUGUGAGAAACAAAUCAAUCUCUUGCCGCCAUGAGUCCGUGACCAAGUUUUAUCGUUUGAAUUUUCAUUGGGACAACACAUUAUAUCAUUGCUUGACCUUAUUUCUUGCUGUAAAAAUGAUUCCAUUCUUCUAUCACAUCUUUGAAGCCUCCAUUAGUUUUUGUAUUACAAGUGCCUCAAAGAAGUAAUUAUAUCAUUCAUCUCGAUGCAGGAACAAUUUACUGCACUUAGGAAGUGAAAAAGAAUGUCAGGUUGCUGAAGAAACCACUUUGAGGCAAACGAAGUGAUCCUUUUACACAAAUGUCCCUGCUAUAUACAUGGAAAACAUUAUAAAUGAAGUUGUGCCAAAAAAUUGGAGUUUAUUUUGAAGAGUACAAGGAUAUAUACCACGUCAAGGUAGUUCUUCUACUAAGAACUUCAGUAUUAAUUAUCAAGUUUCUUUCAUAUCUCACUUAAUUAACCAUCGAUACACCAACCCCGCCGCCCCGCGUGUAGUUGCCCGACAACAGGUGACAAAGCUCAACUAUUUCAUGCAAAUCUACUGUUAAAGAAAAUAAAACAUUUGAGCUCUAUAAGGCAAGUUUUCUGCUCUUGGCUAACUAUUAUUUAUGGACAAUGGAUCGAAUAUUGUGUUUGUUGCCUGUAUUUUAAAGGAGAUUUUUGCUACUUCAAAUUGCAACAGGCCUUUUGCUGUUUUGAAUUAAAUAGAUGAGGGUUUGAAUAUAAUGUUUUCAAUGUGAAUCAAGAAGGAUCUAUUCAAAAUAAAAGUGAUAAAGAUUAAGAAAGAACUUAAGGUUAUGUUUGGGAGGUAGGAUUAAGUAUAGGAUUGGAUUAAUUUAGAACUCAUUAUUUAUCUUAUGUUUGGCAAGCUCCACUUUGGAUUAGAUCAUGGGACUAAAUUUGAAUUUAGUCCUAAGAUCAUGGGAUUAGCAAUCCCAAUUAAAACAUGGGUUUGGUUAGGAUUAACUUAAAAACAAUUGUCUAUUUAAUUAAUUAUUACUUGAAUAUCUAAUGAAUAUUUAAUUUAAUAAUCACUAUAUUAAAUUAAUCAUGAAAAUUAAUAAUACUAGUAAUUGGUUGCUUUUAUAUAAUUUGCUAACUUUUUGGUAAAAUAAAAUAUAUUUAAAAUAUUUAAUAAAAAUUAAAUCAAAUGUUUAAAUAAUUUUUAAUUUAAUUUAACGUAAUCUAAUUUAUAUUUGUUUAUUAUAAUUAUGAUUACCCAAUAACUAAUUUUCUGCAUAUUUAAUCUUAAUUAAUUGUCCUUUAAAUUAAUAUUAAUAAUGAUUUUAUUAUUAAAUAUUCACAAAUAGUUCAUAUUUAUAUUUAAAUAUCAAAUUAAAUGCUAUUUAAUUUCAUUAAAAAAUAACUUAAUAUAGUCCAAUCUAAUAUUGUACCAAACAUAAGACAAUAUUAUAUAAUUCAAUUUAAUCCAAUUAAAUCCAAUCCAGUCCAAUCAUGCGUGCCAAACGUAACCUAAGAAGCUAAGAGCUUUUAGAAGACUUUGAAGAAAUAAUAUCAAUUUGAAAGGAAAAGAAUUUAAAAUGAAGAAGAAAAAGAUAAUUCACAAGAAGUAAGACUAACUCUACAUCUGAUUGAGGAACAGGCUUGUUACUUCAACUAUUAUAACCAAUUGAAUUAAGUUAACAGUUAACAAUUUUGUGCAGAUACCCAAUUUUACAGUCUUGUAAAAUGGUUUAUAAUGCUGUAAAGUGCCUUUGAUGUCCACCUGAGCAUGAUUAAUUUAAUAUAAUUUUAUUUGCUUUUAACUAAUUUACUAUGUAUAUAUGUAUGUUGUUUGUUUUGCAGAACGUACUCGUUGCUGGAACAGACACGAGUGCAGCAACUGUGGUUUGGGCCAUUACUUACCUAAUGCAGAAUCCUAGAGCAAUGAAAAAAGUUCAACUGGAAAUCAGAUCGUUGAUUGGGGGUAACAAAGGCUUUGUAAAUGAAGAUGAUGUUCAAGAACUACAUUAUCUUAUGGCGGUAGUGAAGGAGACAAUGAGAUUGCAACCCACAGUGCCAUUACUAAUCCCAAGAGAAACAAUUCAAAAGUGCGUAAUAGAUGGGUAUGAAAUACCAGCUAAAACACUUGUCUUUGUAAAUGCAUGGGCGAUAGGAAGAGACCCUGAAGCUUGGGAGAAUCCGGAGGAAUUUUAUCCGGAGAGAUUCGUUGAUAGCUGUAUUGACUUUAAAGGGCAACACUUUGAAUUAAUACCGUUUGGUGCUGGCAGAAGAAUUUGUCCUGGGUUGAAUAUGGGAAUCGCAACUGUGGAUCUCGCAUUUGCUAAUCUUCUUUAUAAAUUUGAUUGGGAAAUGCCGCCUGGAAUGAAGAGCCAAGACUUGGACUUUGAUGUUCUGCCGGGAAUUACUAUGCAUAAGAAGAAUGCUCUCGCUCUUUUGGCUAAGUAUCAUGAGUAGGUAAAUUAAGGCACCUCGGACCAACAAAGUGUUGGCUCCACUGGCAAUGGAGUCCCCUUAAGUGGCUUGACUGGGUUUGCUCGUGCAUCUCAUGUUUCCUUUCUUUCUUCUUAUGUAUAAUGAAUGUUGAUGUCUAAGUGCCCAUAGGCUGAGUGGUUUUUAAUAAUUAAAUUUCUUUUAGUUCAAAAUUUUGGGAGGUAAGGACUAGAGAAUAAUGGUUACUCAGCUCACUUUCCUAUACUAAAAAAAAAAAAGGUUGAUAUGAAUGUGAAUAUUAAUCUACUACGAUCAUUUCAUCUCAUAUUUUUUCUCCUAUAUUUUUUUCUUUAAAUUUAACUUCUAUCACUUAACCUGCUAUCUUUUUAUAUGAUUGGAUAGAGAUUGAAAUUUUUGCUGUUCCACCUCGAUGUUAAUGCUAAUAUUAUCUUCACACCUUUACUGUAAUUUUCUACUUCUACUAUUAGAUGCUGAAGUAAUAAUAGAGUUAAUGCUAAUAUUAUCUUCACACCUUUACUGUAAUUUUCUACUUCUACCUCGAUGUUAAAGUUUUGAUAAUAAAGACUGGUCCAACAGACCCAAUAAAGCCAUAAAAAUGACCUUUUUUUUUUCUUUUCUUUUCUUUAAACAAAAUUGGUCGAAGACCUAGCAAGUCUUUAUUCUGCAUUUUGAUUGGUAUUGAGAGGCCAUUAUUCUAGAUAAGCUGGGGAAUAAGUUGGGCUCUUAAUAGAAAUUUGUUAAAAGUCUCUUGGUGGUCACACAGCGCACAGCAUGCGGCUUUUCUAAAGCGGAUGGUGUUUUUAAAAGUCUUCAUUCGGAGCGGGUGAGAUUUGGAAUGACUCACGAGAAAUUCCACAACUCAAAAAGAGAUUCGAAAAAGUAGUUUGUUUUUUUCUCUUUAUUUUUCUUUUCCAAGUUGAUAUCAUUGAGAAAUUUCAAACUCAACAUACAAUAUGUAGAAUAUAUUUUGUAAUAGAGAAAUAAUAGAGUCGCAAAUUAUUAAUGUAAAACAACGUUGAUUGAAUAAAAACACAAAAUAAUACAAAAAAAAAAUGAAGCAUAUGAAUUUUUAUUUAACCAAUAUCAUCGCUUUUAAAUGAUGACUGAAUUUUACCUAUUGCGUAUCUUGGACUAAAUUUAAUUUCAAAAAAUGAGCUUCCAGCUUAUUACUUAUACGUAUCUUGCACUUUGGUUUUACGAUCACCAUUGGAUGGAAGAGUGGCUUGAGUUUGUUAAUUGCUUCAGUCCCAGGACUAGUGUUUGGAAACAUAAAAUUUAUCAGUUCAGCAGCUAUAAAUCUGUUUCAUGAUUGUUAUUGCACACUAUUUCCUAUAUCUUUGUCUCCAUGCUCGUACUGAAUUAGUGGCGCAUUUGUCAUCUUUCGCCUUUCAUUAAAAUGUGCUUAUUAUUUUUUAUUUCAAUCGUAGGAUGGGAAGAUUGAUACUGAUUCCAUCUACAAUGGGUUUAAAGACAACGUGAGGUUAAUGUGGGAGCGUUUCUUGUCAUGCCAGCAACUGUUGACAUAAACAACAGACUGCAAGCUUCACCUACUCUCUGUUCAUAUUUGCAUUUGUGUGCAUCUUGUACUUGUUGUUGCAGAAAGAUGAAUAUGUAAGAAUAAGAUCGUGUUUGUAUGCAAUGGUCAAAUGUUUUUGCAAAAAAUGUCGUUGCUUGAGUUCCUCAAUUCUCAUUCUGAACUUCAAAAUUUGUACAUUUCUUUAACUUAAUUUUUUUUUUCUGUGUAAUAGUAGUUUAAGUUUGGUAGUUUCUGUGUAAAGUGUUUUAUAUUUUCAUGUGUGGAAUAAAUAUCAAUGGCCAACAACAAUAAGAGUUUGAUUUUAUUUGUAAGACAUGUCUUUCAAAAUUAAGCUAGUGACAUACUUGGAUCACUUGGGAUCCACUUGCAAAUGUAUUUUGAAGAAAAGUUUUCUCCCCGCCUUUUAUGUAAUCACACCCACCAGUAAAAUGGUAAUUUAUUGAAAGGUCCUUGAUGCCCGGUUAAAGUUAUAAUUAAAUUAAUAAACGUAUCUUUUUAAAUUAAUAAACUCAUCUUUUUGAAUAUGUUCAUCGUUUUGUACGUAUAUUAGUAUUUUUUUUAAAUUCCUUCUAUUUCUAUCCUAUUGGUUAGAAGCAAAUAUUUCACUGUAAUCUCCUGUCGACCAAAAGGAGAUGCCUUUCCCAAAGCAAGAAAAGAAAACACAAAAAGCCCACUUCAAAAACUUGUGCAAGAAGGAGAUGUGAUUACGCUGUCUUUCUGUUUCUUGGUGCGUGUAUAGAUAUAUACAUACACACAUAAGUCUGAGGAUCAGCUGAGCCAACAGCCCACUAGGAAGCAAUUUUAAAAUUUUUGGUAAGUAUUGUUCUUUAUAUCUUAUGAAUUUUUCCUUCAAUUAUCAUAUUUUCACUCAGUUUUGUUUUUGGGCACUCGUUAUGUGAUUUUCUUUUGAUGAUUUCGGUGGCUUCUUUUUAGCUCUUAUUUUACUGUUUCCACUGGUUAGUUUAGCUGCUGUCUACUGAGAUAAAAUUAUUUGCUUGAAUAACUUAGUCUUUUGCUAUUUUAUUACGUUCAGUUUAUAUACAGUUGAUUCAUUGUAACAAAUGUUAUCAUAAAUGAUUCUUGAGUAAUUUCAUUUAUUUACUUUUUCUUCUUUCAUAGUUGGCCUGUACGGUAUCAUUUACUUUUAUCUUUUUUCAAAUUUCUUUUAAUCUAGAGAAUGUUAUCAUAAAUGUUUGUUUUACUUUUUCAAAUUUCUAAGUAUUUUUGUUGCUUGUUUAUCGGGCAAUACUGCAACAGUGAUUUCAACUCACAAAAUUCUGUAAAUAGUUAUUAUUCUUAGUGUGGUUUUAAGGUAGAGUGAAGUUCAUAUUAUCAUAAUGGCUUACAUUCCUCCACAUAUGAGGCAUACGAAGGACCCCCAGAGGCCAUCUCCAGUUCCAGAGAUGAUUGUGCCUAAAUCCAACAGAAAAUUAAACUUGGGAUCAUCCAAGCAUAAUGCAGACAUGAGUGGAAAGAUCGUGUAUGCAGACCCUGCCAUACACAGAUGGUUCAUUUGUGGCUUGGAUAAUGAUAGCAGCACUCCUUCUGUCCGCUUUGUGGAGUUUUCAGACGACCCUGUUGAGCAUAAAAAAUCGACGACCAUUAAUCUGGCUCGAGGUUACUGAUCUGCAUUUGUAAUUUUAUCUUAAAUAUGUCCUACUUUCUUUAUUUAUAUGCGGUGCUAACUUUAGUUAUAUUGACAUUUGGAUUUUGGUUUGGUAGAUAACGAUAAAUUAUGUGGGAAUACAUCAAGAAGCCCAUGGGAAUCGAUAGCAGAAAAUGUAUGGCCAGAUGUCUUGAGUGCUUGUAAUAUUGUCAAGAACGAAAUGGAGGAAAAGCCAACAAUGGUUGCUAGAUUUGGCCAUCAUCUUUUCCGUGAGUAUGUGAUCUGGUUCCAUUGCUGUAACAGCUUGAAUUUUUUAUUAGGUCAUUCCUUUUCUUUGGACUUCGAAAUUAAAGCAGCAAAAAUGCAUAUUCAUACUAAAUUCUGACAGAAAUCUUAUGGUCAUAUAAGUGCUGGCAGCUAAAAUUAUGAGCUUUACCAUUAACCCUACCACCAGCUGUGGAUGACUGUAAAUCGGAUCUCCAAGCCGGGGACAAAAGUUAAAAUUGCUUUUAAAAGCCAAAGAGGAAAAGAUUUGUAGAAAGAAGGAAAAAGAAAAUGGCAAUUUAUAGUGCAUGCACUUCUUUCAGACUUGUAUCUCAUAGAAGCUUUCAUGGCAUCUAGAAUUUGGCUUUGGCUUUGCGUAGGACAUUUCAAUUGUUGCUGGUGGAAACAAAUAUAUCCAUUGUCUUAGUAUUGCUUGAUUUCCGGUGCAAGAAACAAAUAAAUCUAUUGCCGUACGUGGCCAAGUUUUGUUGUUUGAUAUUUCAUUGGGACAACAAAGUAUACCAUUGCUUCGCCUAUAUCUUACAUCUUUGUAUCAUAUAUUUCCAUUCUUCUAUCGCAUCUUUGAAGCUUCUACUAGUUUUCAUAUUAGAAGUGCCUCAAAGAAAUAAUUAUUAUAUUAUUUGUCUUAAUGAAGGAGUGACAUACUGAGCUUAGAAAAUGCAAAAGAAGGUCAGGUUGCUGAAUCUGCUUUGAGCCCACUGAGGAGAUGCUUUUACACUGGUGUCCCUCCUACAUACAUGGGAAAAAUUGUAAAUGAAGUUGUGCCAAAAAUUGGGGUUGGUUUUGUAGAGAACAAGGAUAUAUACCAUGUCAAGGUAGUUCUCCUGCAGUCCUGCUAAAUACUUUAGUAGUCAUCACCAAGUUUCUUUUAUCUCUCACUUAAUUAGCCAUUGAUUCCCCCCCUUCUUUUUCUUGUGUAGUUGUCUGAUGGCACACGACAAAUUACGUGCAAAUGUACUGUUAAAGAAGAUCAAAAGCUUCAUCUCUAUAAGGCAAGUCUUUUGCUACUGGCUGAGUAUUAUUUAUGGACAAUGGGUCCUAGAUUAUAAGUUUCCUCUUGUGUUAAGGAGACUUUUGCUAGUGGAAACAUUGGAAACAAGACUUAUGAUGUUUUGAAUUGAAUAAUAUAAUCUUUUCACUGUGAAUUAUGAAGGAGCUGUCGAAAUAUAAGCGAUAGAUAUCAAGAAAGAGACGAAACCUUUGUGUCUCACAAGAGCCUUUUAGAAGUCUCUCCAGGAAUUAGGGAUGGCAAUGGGGAGGGGAGGGGAGGGGAGGGGACCAACAUCCCUACACCCAUUUCUGAUAUUCUGCAUAUAUCCCCGUCCCCAUUAGAAUUGCUUGAGAGAAUCCCCGUUCCCUCCCCGAAUAAUAAGAGGGGAUCCUCGAGGGGUCCCCGAUCCCCUAAUAACUAAUACGUUUUUAAAUUUAAAUUCUGAACUUGAUUUAAUUAUAUAAAAAUAAAAAUUUAAACAAAAAUAAGGUUUGACAAUAUAUCUUACACUAAAAUUAAUCUAUUACAAAAAUCACACUACAACUUACAAACCAUCAGAAUAAUUAUUUUCGUCAAUCUUCAUAAUCCUAUAACAAAAAAAAUAUGUUUUUAUCAAUAAUGAAAUAAAUGAAAUGAAAUAUAGAUACUGAAAUUAAUAUUUUUAAUAAAAGUAUUAACUCUUACACCUCAUGCUCCUCCUGUUCUUCCUCGAGUAAUGUGACAAAUUGAGAGAUAAUUACAAAUUUAAAAUCUAAAACAAUAAAAAUAAUAUAAACAAUAAGAAAAUUAUCAGUCAUAUACCCUUAAAUGACAUCCGUAUCAAACGUGUGUGAACACUUUUUAAGUGUAUCACUCAUAUACCCUAAGUUGACAAAACACUUCUGCCGUCCACCAAUCUGUUAACUUCCGUUAGAAAGUUAAUAGAAUUGUGGCAAAUUGACUAUUUUGCUCUUGAAACUCAAAAUGAGGUAAAAAUAUAAAUUUACCCCAAAAAUUAACGUAAAUUUUCAAUACACAAUUUUUUUAUUUUGUUAUUAACAAUACAUUUUUUUAUUAAAAAAGAAUUAUUAAUGGUACAUAUUAUUAACAUUUAUCCAUAAAAAAAUAUUCAUAUUAUACCAUAAAAAAUUAUUAACAACAUAUUAUUUACAAUUAUAUAUAUUAUACCAUAAAAAUUUCCAGUUGGAGCUUGGAGGAGUAGAUCUUCAAAAAUUUAGGUUAAAUUUUGGAGGAGUAGAUUCGGUUGUAAAGUAGUUUUUUUUAGCAAUUAUUAAUUAUCCGAUAAAAUGGGAUGACAUGUCAUUUUUAUCAAUAUAUAUCAUAUGACAUGUCAUUGUUUACUAGGUAAAUGGGAUGACAUGUCGUUUGUUUAAUCAAAGUUUCGUCAAUGUUAAAAGACUAAAUUACCCUUAUGAUGUCAACUCUUGCAAACGGAAGUUAACGGAUUGGUGAACGGCAGAAGUGCUUUGUCAACUUAGGGUAUACGAGUGAUACACUUAAAAGGUGUUCACACAUGUUUGAUACGAGUGUCAUUUAAGGGUAUAUUACUGAUAAUUUCCCUAAACAAUAUGACUCAUAAUCUAAAACAGUAUUGGCCCAAGGUCUUUAAAAUAAGGUCUGGUCAAAUAGUAAUUCAAGACUACAACUAGUUAAGUAGGCUCGAAAUUUUUAUAGUUGAUCUGUAUAAAUAUUUUGAUAUUUGUUAUUUAUACUAAUAUUUAAUAUAAUUUAAAUUUCAUUAUUCAUUUAUUAAUAAUUCUAAAAAAUAAAAUCAAAAUUAAAAAUUAAUACGAGGAAAUGGGUAGGGGAUGGGGAUUCCACCUCAUCCCCGUCCCUUCCUCGAAUAAGAAACUAGGUAAAAAAUUGUCUCCGUCCCUUCCCCGAAUAAGAAAUUGGGUAUAAAAUUGUUCUCAUACCCUCUCCGAAUAUGAAAAAUCCCUAAGGGUGCUCGUCCCCGUGGGGAUUUUUGCCAUCCCUACCAGGAAUAAUCUCAGUUAAGAGGAAAAGAAUUUAAAAUGAAAAGAAGGAAGAAAAUUCUCAAGAAGUAAGACUAAUUCUACAUCAAAUUGAGGAACAGGCUUGUUAAUUUAACAAGGAAAGCUCCAGUAGCUAUUUAUUAUAAACCAAUUAAAAAUUGAAUUAAUUUAAUAGUUAACUUGUAAUUAAAUGUCUAAUCCAACAAACUAUGCAUAAGAUUACAGAUGUAACUAUGUAAUACAAAAAACCUCUGCUUAUUGUAGACCAAAGUGAAUAUGCCAAUAUUUAGGAAUUUCUUUCAGCAUCAUGGGAUUUAGAUCCCUAUAAUCUUUUUUUAUUUUAGUGUAGUGACAUCCGGAAGACCAGAAUUAUCACGUACCUCGUAGUAGUCAUUUUAUGUCUUUUAAAGCGCCACAUUAUUUCCCAUACAGUCAUAAUAUAUCUAUUUGUUGUUUAUUUAUUGUUGUCGUGUGUGGAGUCUCAUCUUGAAUAUGAACAUUUUUCCGGUAGGUCGAGCUGGACUCUGUUCGUCACAUGGUAGCAGACAUGUUAUGCGUUCAUAAAAAUCUAGACCUGAGGUUGGCACUAUGUUCAAAGAGUACCUUUUCUGCUCUCUCGGUGAGUCAAUCUGCUACUCUGUGCAUGUUUAGCUGGACUUUUAAGUUACACCUUCUUUUUUCCCCUUUUUAUUUUUUUUGGUCAUUUGCUUGUUGGAAUUAUCAUCAUUACAGAAUGAGGAAGAAAAAUUCAAGACCAGGGGAAAUAAGGAAAUAUUAAACUUAUAGCUUUUGUUUUAUCAUAGAAAGUUUACUUUCAAGGGGUUGAGAAAAAAUUUAUAUACACACACACACACACACACAAGCUUAAAACGGUUAAACAUUAGCAUGCAUGAUCCUUUUCUUCAAAACUGAAACUUUACAAAUGUUAAAAAUAGAAUAACAAAUAAAUUAUUAGAUUUCCAAAAUCAGUUACCCGUUAUGUAGGCUUAAAACAAAAGUUAAAUAUAAGCUCUUUUUUUUUUUGGGAGGGGGGGGGGGGGGGGGGGUGUGUGCCUAUGAGUAGUCCCAGCAACUCGAAUUCUAUGAUCAAACUGAAAUUUUUGAGUUUUCAGGAUGAUGAAAUGAACAGCAUUAGAAUUCUGAUUAAUUCAGCCAUUCCGGAUCCCGAAGUCAAGGGUGGGUAAAGAUGGCCCAUGGGGAAGUCAUAUUCAGGGGAUUACACAAUUGUUGGGGUUUGGCACAAUGAAUUUAAAUCAUAUAAAAGCCCAUCACUAAAGCUUAAGGUAAGAAAUGUUGAUCGAUUUAUUUUCAAGACUGGAACUGGGGAAGCUACGAUUGAGAUUAAUCUAAAGUUGAGAAGACUAGUUUCAGAGAUUCAGGUACUUGCUGCUUUUUGCUUUAACUUUUAUCACAUAACCUACUAUCUUUGUGUAUGAUUACAUGGAUCUUGAAAUUCUUGCUGUUAUGUCAUAAUGUUAAUGCAUAUUUUGUCUUCACGCAUUUCUUACUGAACUUGUGUCUUGAGCUGUAAUUAUAAUUUCCAAUUUUUACUAUUAGAUGGGUAUUUUAUUGGAGAUUUCUUUACUUAAAAAAAAAAAAAUGUUUGACAGAGAAUAUUUUAACGAUGAGAUUGCAAUAUUGUAAUAGAUAAUCUUCAGGAACUCUUUUUACCUUUUAGUAGUUAUGCAGUUGCUCCUCUGUGUUAGCUUAUUUAUUCUAUCAUAUGUAACGAAUGACUUUUUACCAAAUUUGAUUUCAAAGCUGAGCUUCCAGCUUAUGACUUAUAUUUGUGUCUUGCACUUUUGUUUUACAAUCACCAUUAGAUGGAAGAGUGCUUAGAGUUAGUUAAUUGAUUCAAUCCCAGGAUUAGUCUUUUGAAACAUAAAAUUUAUCGGCUAAGCUAUAUAAAUCUGUUUCAUGUUUCUUAUCGCACACUAUUUCGUAUGGCUUUGUCUCCAUGCUCAUACAAAAUUAGUGUUGUAUUAGAUGUCUUCUGUCUUUCAUUCACAUGUACUUAUUACUUUUUCUUUCAAUCGUCAGGAUGGGGAGAUUGAUACUGAUUCCAUCUACAAUGGGUUUAACGACAACUUGAGGUUAAUAUGGGACCAUUUCUUGUCAUGGGAGUCAUAACUUUUGACAAAAACAACAGAUUGCAUGCUCUCCCCGCUCGGUUCAUAUUUGCGUUUGUGUGCAUCCUGCAGUUGAAGAUGUAGAAUGAUGUAAAUGCAAGAAAAAGAGCAUGUUCGUAUCCAAUGGUAAAAUGUUUUUGCUAAAAUGUAUGGACUUGUAACAGUUUGUUGCGUGAGUUUCUCAAUCUCCUAAACCUCAAAUUUUGUCCUAUUUUCACCCCGGCUUUUUCCCCCCGUCCUCUGUAAUAGUUAUAUUUGGUAUAAUUAAGUUUGGCAGUUCCUUUGUAAAGUGUUUUAUAUUCAUGUGUGGAAUAAAUAUCAACAUCCAGAUACAAGAAAGUUUGAUUUUAUUUGUAAGACCUGUCUCUCAAAAUUAAUCUAGUGACAUGCUUGAAGCACUUGGGAUCCACUAGUUGGAUGUAUUUUUGUUAAGAUUUAUUUAGCAUUUUGUAUGUGUAUCAGUGCGUUUUUUUGUUUUUAAACCGUUGGUUAGAGGGCAAACAUUUCACAUUAAAGUGGGGUCUGCUUGCCACCAAAGGAGAUGCCUUUCCCAAAGCAAGAAACGAAAACUCAAAAGCCCACUUCAUAACUUGUGCAAGAAGGAGAUGUAAUUGACAUAUGCUGUCCUUUUUCUUGGUGUGUGUAUGUGUAUACACACACUUAAUUCCGAAGAUCAACUGAGCGAACAGCCAAAACUUGAAAGCAAUUUUAAAAUUUUCGGUUAGUAUUGUACUUUAUAUCUUAUGAAUUUCUCUUUAAUUUAUUAUAUUUUCACUUUAGUUUUGUUUCUGGGUACUCCUUAUGUGCUUUUCUUCGAUGAUUUUGGUGAGCUCAUAUUUUACUAUUUCCACUGGUUAGUUUAGCUAUUGUCUACUAAGAUAAAAUUAUUUGCUUCAAUAACAUAGAGUAUUGAGGUACUAUAAUUUAAAAAUUUAGAAAAAAAUAUACUUAUAAAAUAAAAGUUAAUAGUAUGUGGUAAAUAUAAUUUUAAAAUAAUAAUUUUAAUAAAAUUAGUAAAGAUAUAAUAGAUUUUCAUCAUAUAAAAAUAAAAUAAAAUCAACUUAAUUUCUAAACUACAUAAAAUAAUGUUUAUAAAACACUUUAGUGUUGUAACUACCAAACCUCAAUCUAAAGUAUGGCCUUAAUCGUUUGCUAUUUUAUUAUGUGAUUGUAUAUAGAGUUAAUUAAUUGUAUCAAAUGUCAUCAUAAAUGAUGCAUGAGUAAUUUCAUAUUGUUUUUUCUUUUCUUCAUUGAUAAUUGGCCUGUCGGAUAUCUUUGAACUUUUUUUUUUCGCCUCAAAGUUCUUUUAGUCUGCAAAAUGUUGACUUUAGUUUCGAUCUUGGUUAUUGCAAUAUUUCAUUCGUUCUUUCUAAGCAUAGUGGUUUCAUUUCAUAAAAUUCUGUAAUAAGUACUUAGUGUAGUUUAAGGUUGCGCGAAGUAAUAUUAUCGUAAUGUCUUACAUUCCACCACAUAAGCAGCAUUCUAUAAUCAAGACUGCAGAGAAUCUCGCAGAUAUGUUGACUAAGGUGGUGACGACGAUUAAGUUUGAGCAUUGUCUAAACUUGAUUAAUAUCUUACAAGUUUGAAAAUAGUCAGGGAAGACAAUGACUGGAGGAUGGUUUGUUGAUAGUCGGCUCAGAUUUACUAAAUUUUCGCCAAGGUAGAGAAUUGUUGAAAAGUCAAGCAUGCUUGCAUGAGCCAGCUAGCAUGCAAAUUUCAAGCACACCAAUGUUCAGCUAGCUUGAUCCAAUUGCAUGUGCUAGCAUGAUCUCUUCAUCAAAAGUCACACCAAAGCCAUUAAAAUUGAAAAUGGCCAAAUUUUUUUUUUCAUGCAUUCAUAUUGUAAGCUUUGCAUAUAAAUAGAGGAGUAGAAUGCAUUUGUAAAGCAUCCCAAUUUGUGAUAAGCAGAGAGCAAUUGCAAGUGAGCUCUUUGAGAGAAUUUGAGAGAGCUUCCACUUUAGUGUUCUAGUGAGGUUCCAUUUAGGUGUAUUGGGGUUGUGGGUUUUGUGAGUUUUUCCUACUUUUAUAAAUUCUCAUUACUAGUAAAAUUAUCUUCCAGUCUUUGCCCGUGGAUGUAGGCAUUACGCCGAACCACGUAAAUUAUUAUGUUCUAUUUUUUUUGUAUUUGUUUGUCACAUUUAUAUUUCUCCAAAAGUUACAUUCAUCGUAAUAUUGGUAAUUGCUCAACUUCGCACUUCCGCAACAAUUGGUAUAAGAGCAGAAGGUUCGUGCUUGGGGCAUACGACAUUGUUCACGUAUACGAAACUGUUCACGGAUACGGUAUUGUUCACGUAUACGGUACUGUUCAUUGAUACGGUGGAGAUGACCAUUUAUACUUGGGAGACAGUCUAUUGUAAGUAGUGUGUAUUUUUGCAUGUCUAGGAAAGUUCUGUCAACAAGGCGAUAAAAGACUAAGGAGUCUGGGUUUUAAGUGGGACCGUUGUGACCCCUCCAUUCUCCUAGGAACUUUCCUAGUGCAUUUAUUCAUGCGAAAUAAAUAUCAUAGAUGUUGUUUUUCAAGUGUAAAUAGUUGUUGAAGAAACUGAUCAUUUGAUAUAAAAAGGAUGGCAAAGGCAUUGUCGUCGUCUUCAUCAACAAGGACUACUGUGACUAAUGCAAAGUUUGAAGUGGAGAAAUUCGAUGGUACCAAUAAUUUUGGUAUGUGGCAAUGUGAGGUGUUGGGUUUCUUAUGUCAGCAAGAGUUGGACGUUACUCUUGAAGAAAAGUCUGACAUGAUGGAGGAAAAAGAGUGGAUAAAGAUCAAUAGACAGGCAUGUGGUACUAUUCGACUAUGUUUGGCUAAAGAUAAAAAAUAUUCUGUCAUGAGGGAGACAUCGACAAAGAAAUUGUGGGAGACAUUGGAAGAAAAAUAUAUAAAGAAAAGCCUUGAAAAUAUGCUUUAUAUAAAGAAGAAACUCUAUCGAUUCACAUAUACACCUGGCAUGUCAAUGAAUGACCAUGUGAGUUCAUUCAACGAAAUAUUGGCAGAUUUGCUAAAUUUGGAUGAGAAAUUUGAAGAUGAAGAUAAGGCACUGUUGUUUUUGAAUUCCCUUCCUGGUGAAUAUGAUCAUCUCACCAACAAUUUGCUUCAUGGGAAGGACAUUGUCACAUUCGAUGUUGUAUGUAGUGCAUUGUAUAACUCUGAGAUUAGAAAGAAAGACAGAAAAGAUAACAGAGAUACAGUUGUGGAAGCAUUGACAACUAGAGGUCGUUCAAAAGGCCGUAAACCUAGAAAAAGAAGCAAGUCUAAAGGGAGACCUACCAAAGAUGAGUGUGCUUUUUGUCGCGAGAAAGGGUAUUGGAAAAAGAAUUGUCCUAAGUUACAAAAGGGCAAGGCUUCUUCUGAUGCAUGUGUAGUAGAGCAUGAUGAGGAGUCAGACUUUAGUCUGGUUGGCAUGACGUUGACAUGUUACUCAGAUGAGUGGUUUUUAUAUUUGGGUUGUACUUAUCAUAUGUGUCUUAACAAUGGCUGAUUUUCUAGCUUUAAGGAGCUGGACGGUAGAGUUGUUUUUAUGGGCAAUGACAAUGUCUGUAAAACCUUAGAAUAGGUACAAUCCAAUUAAAAAAUCGUGACGGUUCAAUCAAAGUCUUGACGGAUAUUCGUACGUACCAAGUUUGAAAAAAAAUCUUAUCUUAUUAGGAGUCCUAGAAUCUAAAGGGCUCACAAUCACUCUGAGAGAUAGAUUAUUGAAGGUAGUAGAUGGCGCACUAACGGUGAUAAAAGGCACAAGAAGAAAUAACUUGUACUAUUUUCAAGGGAAUACAGUUAUUGGAUCAGCAUCAACAAUUUCUGGAAGAGAUGCAGAUUCAGAAGCAACCAAGUUGUGGCAUAUGUGUUUGGGACAUGUUGUGCAAAUUUUAUUGAACUCGCAAGUGCACGAAUCUAUUGUAGAAUAGACUAAUGGUGACGAGUGUCGAUCCCACGAGGAGGUGGAUUUUAAUUGUGUGUAGAAUUAAUUUUGUAAAUGGGUGGUUGGAUUUGUGGUGAAAAUGAUUUGGAUUAUCCUAAAAUUGGAAUUGAAAUGGCGAGAAUAAAUUGAAGAGAAAUCUAUUGAGAUGACGUACUUGGGUAUCUGGAUCCGUAUCAACAUGCAUCAUGGGCUAAAUAAUCCUUAUUAAUGCCAAUUAAAUCAUGAGGGGGGAAUCCACAUCUCAUGAACCACGCUCUAAUCAAUAUGGUGCUAAGGGCUUAUCGUGCCAAAUAAUAAUAACCUUGUACUAGGGAGCCGGUGAAACCAAUACGGUACUAGACAAAAUUAGUAUUAUUUGUCGACGAGAAGUCAAAACAUUCACAAAAAUUAGAGGGGAAGAGAAAGUAAAUUUACCAAAUAAAGCCCAUGACACAUGUUGAGACUUCACCUUCAACCCAAGCUUGAAAGAAAAUUAGCCACUCAUAAUUGAACUAGGGGCAAAAUAGGAAUUUAUUAAAAUACGUAGAAAAUACAAGAUGGAGAAGGAAUUACAGAAAAUGGAUCCCAAAAAUGGAUUCAGAGAUAUCAAAUUAGGGGGGGAGGCCCCCUUUUUAUAGAUACAUCGAGUAAAUCAUGGCCAUCGGAUUAAAAACAGUUCGGACGUUCAAGAUUGCGCCACGUCAUCCGUCAACAGUACGCGUGAAUAGUACGCGGUUUGACCACGUGGAUGAACAGUAACACGAUUUGACCCGGGUGAACAGUGACACGGUUUGGUUGAAAAUAAUCCUGUGUGUUGCAUGUACCGUACGUGAGAUUUUUGGUCCACUGAUAUGCUGCCACGUCAUCGAUCAACAGUGCAUAAGAAUUUUAGUCCAACAGGAUCGUGACACCUCAUCAGUCAAUGCCACAUCAUCGGUCAAUGCCACGUCAUCGAUCCGUCUAUGUGAACAGUGUCGUGAACAGUAACGUAGACAGUACUGUACAUGUGAAUAGUACCGUACAUGUGAACAAUACCAUUUUUCCUUUUAUGCUCCUCCUAAGGUUUUCGACCGUCUUGAGUUCAAAAGUGAUGUCCGUUUUGCCGUCUGAUCUCUCAUUUAUUGUGAAAUGACUAUGACGCCCCUAAAAUACAUAAAAUACUUAAUUAAAAUAAAACACACAAUUAAAUUCCCAGAAGCUUAAACACAUAAAAGUAAGGGUUGUUAAUAAGACGUGAAAUGUAAAAUGACAAUUUUCUCCUUUAUAAAUAUGUAUUUUCUAACACUCAACACACCCCCCAACCAGCUUAUUGCUAGUCCCUAGCAAAUAAAACGAAAACAAGAUUCAAAUCCAAUUUUUUUUUUUUUAAACACUCGUGUUUAUUCAAUCAGACUAAUGAUAACAAUCAAAUAAAAGUAUAAGCAUUAUCUCCAGUCUAAAGAAACAUCACACCCACAUCAACCAUCCACAUGAAUCAGCCUAGUAGACUUUGUCAUAGUUACCUUCAAGAAUGACAUGUCAAACCCCAAAAUCUCACUGGAAGUAGUGACACUCUCACAAAGAAAUUAAACCCAAUAAAAAUAGUCACUCCAAUGAAUGGUAAUUGAGAGAAAAUAAUAAAGAAGUGAUAUCACAUGCUCUCACCAAGAUGAAAUAAAUAUGCCCUCAGCUUAGAAAUAAUACGAUCUCAAGUCAAAUAAAAAUGCUAGUCAACCCAAUUUAUUUAUUUUUAUUUAUUAUUUUUUAAUGCACCACUACAUCUUUUUAGCCCAUAUAAUUAGCUUUUACUUCAGAUUAUAGUUCCCUAAAAUCAAGAAGGAUUUUUAUUAGGACGUAACGUAGGCUAGGGACAUGGCUAACAAAGAAGGGAAAUAAGGAAAACAAAGUGUAUGUUUGAGAAAAAUACAAAGGAUUUUUUUUUUUUUUUUGGAAGUUGCAAGGUGGAUUUCACCAAUUAUUGUUAUUUUUUUAUUCUUUUUUUUUAAACAACAAUUUCUUUUUCUUUUUUUUUUUGCUUUUGUUGGGCAUAACUUCACUAUACAAAAUAUUUAUUUACAUUUUUCUCAAACAUAAAUAGGUAAUGGAACUUGUAAGAUGUUGGGUAAUACUCUAAAUCGGAGUGGGUCAAGAUGAUAAGUUUGACAAAGAAAAGUUUUUUUUUUUUUUAAAGGCUCAAAAGGGUUAACUAUGGAUAUUUGAUAAAAGGGAUGGCUAGAAAGGCUCAAACGGAUCAAAGAUGGCCUUUCCAUCGUCUUUUAGGGCUCUGAAUAAUCUUCCAUAUUUACUAGUUAGAUGGGCCUCCAUAUGUAGCAACACACAUUUUUUUUUUAAUUUUACAAUUUUUUUUAAGGGUUAACUCAAAAGAAAUCUAGAGAUCGUGUAUACAAUAAUAAACUGCUAAGUUGUAUAAAGAAUGGGCAAAAGGGUUACUCUCCAAGAAAAAUGAUAGGCUCAAAAACUCACUUGGUACUUAUUAUGACAUGUUCAUUCCUUCAAGCAACUCAUAUUUGUCUCCGACAUCAACAUGUAGAGUAGCAAACGUAGCGUAACAUCACUUCAGACUAAAGAUAAUACAAAUACUAAAAUUUAAAAUUCAUCAUGUCAUCCAACGUUAAAACAAAUCAAAUUUUUUUUUUUUUUCAACAUCCUAUCCCCCAACCUAUUCUAAACAUGAAAGGAAAAUAUACAUGCAGAAAAACUAAUUAGAAAAUGAUAGAAAACGAAAAUAUUUUUUUUUUUAAUUUAAGAAGAUGCGUUUCUAGAGGCACUACACUCCAUAUUCAGCCAUCUUCGACUCAAAAAAAAAUUUGAAAAUGUAUAUUUAUAAAGGAGAAAUUAAAAAGAAGAAGAAAAAUGAACAUCAAAACAUAAUAGAGAAAAAGAAAAUGUUUGAAUUGUUUUUUUUGUUUUUUUUUUCAAACGAUGAAGAUGCGUUUCUAGAGUCACUACACUCCAUAUUCAGCCAUCUUCAACAUAAAAAGUUAGCAACAAUUAGUUUCUACAACAAAAAAUUAGUAAAAACUUAACCAAGAUUCCACAAUUGUUGACUAUUCCCUCCCCCCAACCAGAACGAAACAUUGUCCUCAAUGUUUUAAAGGAAAGAAGUAGCGUUUAGAAGACAUCACCUGGGUGGUGCAACACAAAAGAAAAUAUUUACAGGCGGAGAGUUAAAUCUAAUUUGUACUUCUUACUGCGGCUACUGUUACCAUCAUUAUUUGAACGCUCAAACACAAAGGUCCAGGGGUCUAGCUCCGGUCUAUAAGCUUGUAACAGAUCAAGUAGCUCAUUAGCAGUGUUAGCACAAAUAAAAAGUUUUUUCGCAUUGGAAGGAAUGAAGUAGUUUUUUAUUGCAUGGUUAAGAAAUGCGAUGAAGCCAUCAUAAAAAUUAUUGACAUUUAACAAACCGAUGGGUUUAUGGUGAAUGUGCAGAUGGGCCCAAGAUGCUAGUGUGAUAAGUGCCUCUAGUGUUGCAAGAUCUCCUGAAAGGAAAAUAAAAACAUCAACAUGAUUAAGCAUUUCAGUUAUUCGUUCUUGCAUACCUGAGACGACUAACUCUUCUCCAGUCGAUGAGUCAGAAAAACUGCCCAAGGUUUUAAGACUCUUGGGAUGAUGCCUAACACUUGGCUUCCUCUGAUAAAAGCAGCUUCUGAGACCAAUUUUGAUAACCCUCGGUUACCUCCUCCAUACACCAAGUGUAAUUUUCUCUCUACUAUGGUUCGACCAAGAUCUAUGGCUGCAUCAACGAACUCUUUAUGUUUGCUAUAGGUAAAUCCAGAAAGCACACAAAUGUUCUUGAAUUGUCUAUUAGGAGUAGCUGCCAUUGGAAUAUUUCUCAAAAAUAAUUUGUGAGUGCUUAACAAAAAGUCAUAUUUAAGAAUCUUGGUGACAGUGGAUCACAACUGUGUAUGAGGUGGCAUGUCAGUGUCAAAUAACGCGUAAAGCACAUGGCUCGAUAGUCAAAAAGCAAAAAGGGAAAAACAAACUGUAAUAAAAUUAUUAAAGACAAUAAUGCAAACAAUAAAACAACAGUGAAAUGAAAUAAAAUAACAGUAAAGUAAAAGGAUAUUUACAGGUAGUUGCGACUGUGGCUCACAUCUUCCUCUGGUUUUACGUCCAGAAACGGCUUGAACGCCCUCUAUGGGUCGAGGAUAGGCUUCCCAUCCAGUUUUCUUAUAAACUGGCAAACAGGGUAGUUUAUAGUCAGAUUCCCAAGACUAUAUCGUGCAUGCUCUUUCUGGAAUAAUGGCCAUAACUGGAGAAUCGCUCCUUGCAUAUAUCCACUGGGAUGCGUUUCAAGAGACAGAAGGAUAUCAUCCGAUGACUCCUUAUUCAAGCCAUCCCUAAUGAAUUGAAUCUUAUCUUCCCUGUUAUCAGAUACCAUUCCUAAAGAACAUGGGUUUUUAUCGCAUCUCAUUCUGGCACACUUAUGACAAGCAACAGAAAUUCUUCGAGCUCGUCGUUUUCUUGCAUAAUUUCCUUUACCAAAACCAGACAUGUAUGCAAUAAAUUUUGGAGGUAACUCACCUGACAAUCGUACUUUAGCCUCGAUUAACCAACGGAUGUCAACAUGUAUGUUAUUCCUCAUGAGCAAUCGCAUGCGUUCGGACCGGGCUUUAUAGAUUGUAAGGAGGGCAUUCUGAGGAAGUGAAGGGAAUCGCUUGUGAAGCUUCGCUAGAAUCUCGUUUCUGUCCAUACCUUCGCCUCAGAAUAUCAGUUAUUAUGGGAAAACUGAAGUAACCGACUUGAUUGUCACGGAGUACCGUUAUCCGCCACUUCACCGGGGUAACACACUAAAGCACACAAACAUAAAAAUAAAUUAAAACACACAAAGAAAAUUAAAAUCGUCCUCUUAUUGAAUUUACCUCAAGCUCCAACUGGAUGUCGUAAACACUUCUCUCAAUGUCUCUGAGUUGGCUUUCUAAACCCUCAACAUAGGAUACUAACUCUGGUGGUUGCAGAGCCCAAAUAUGAUGUGUUUUACAAAAUUGAAUCUGCCUUUUGAGAUGAGUUUUGACACGUUGAAGUGGUUUAAGAAUGUUCAGGAGGAACGAUCUAAGUAUAGUACUCAUGAUUAACAAUGAUAAGAGAAAAGGUAAUAGUUAAAAAAACACACUUAUGCAAAAUAAUUUCAAUUAGCAAAAGAAUAAUAUAAAGAAAGAAAAACAAAUCAAAUCACCGAAAAGAAAAAAAAAUCAAUUCAAAUAUGGUGGGUCACUCAAAUUUAUUUCGGUGUCUUCUCCAUGUGGUUGGUACUCUAGAUAUGGCUUUAAUCUUUGACUAUUAACUUUAAAUGUGACACCGUUCUUUGGGUCCUUAAUUUCAAUUGCCCCAUGUGGAAAAACAGUAUGAACAAUAAAUGAACCAGACCAUCGAGAGCGUAACUUACCUGGGAAUAUGUGCAAGCGAGAAUUGAACAAAAGCACUUUCUGACCUGGAGUGAAAGAUUUUCUCAUAAUUUGCUUAUCGUGAAAGACUUUCAUUCGUUGCUUGUAAAUCUUGGCAUUUUCGUAUGCAUCAUUGCGAAUUUCUUCAAGUUCUGCCAGUUGUAAUCUUCUUUCUGAGCUGGCUUGCUGCAUGUCAAAAUUGAAUUUCUUGAUGGCCCAAUAUGCACGAUGCUCGAGUUCCACAAGUAGAUGGCAAGCUUUUCCAUACACUAGCCUGUAGGGUGACAUCCCAAUCGGGGUCUUGAAAGCCGUUCUAUAUGCCCAUAAUGCAUCAUCAAGUCUUAAUAACUAAUCUUUUCUGUCUGGCCUUAUCGUCUUUUCUAGUAUGUGUUUUAUUUCUCGAUUGGAGAUCUCAACUUGGCCACUGGUUUACGGAUGAUAUGGGGUCGCCACUUUGUGAUUGAUUGAAUACUUUGUCAAAAGAGCUUUGAAUGCUUUAUUACAAAAGUGGGCACCACCAUCACUGAUUAUCGCUCGAGGGAAUCCAAAGCGCGAAACAAUGUUGCUUUUCAAAAAUCCUAUCACCACCUUGUGAUCAUUGGUUCUGCAUGGAAUUGCUUCUACCCAUUUCGAUACGUAGUCAACAGCAACCAAUAUGUAUUGAUGGCCAAAAGAAGGGGGAAAAGGUCCCAUGAAGACGAUACCUCAUACAUCAAAAAUCUCAACCACUAAAAUUGGAUUUAAUGGCAUCAUGUUCCUUCGUGUAAUGCUCCCCAUUCGUUGACACCUAUCACAUGAAGAACAAAAGGUGUAAGCGUCUCGAAAUAUAGUUGGCCAAUAGAAACCACAUUGUAAAACUUUAGUAGCUCUUUUCUUAGCACUGAAAUGGCCUCCACAAGCUUGUUCAUGGCAGAAUGAAAUGAUAUUUUGAAUUUCACUUUCUGGGACACAUCGUCUAACAAUUUGGUCUGCACAAUACUUGAACAAAUACGGGUCAUCCAAAAAAAAAUUCUUUAUUUCUGCAAAGAAUUUAGCCUUAUCUUGCUUGGUCCAAUGCUCUGGAAGUUGACCUGUAACAAGAUAAUUAACUAUAUCAGCAUACCAAGGUAAUACUUCCACACUCAUUAAUUGUUCAUCUGGAAAUGACUCAUUCAAUGUUAAUGGCUCUAUAAUUGUGUCAAAAUGGAGACGGGAGAGAUGGUCAGCUAUAACAUUCUCUGUGCCUUUCUUAUCUUUAAAUUCCAAGUCGAAUUCCUGCAAAAGUAACACCCAACGAAUUAGUCUAGUUUUUGCAUCUUUCUUUGUGAGAAGAUAUUUAAGAGCAGCAUGAUCUGUGAAUAUAAUUAUUUUACAACCAAUGAGAUAAGAUCGAAAUUUCUCUAAUGCAAACACUACUGCUAGCAUUUCCUUUUCAGUAGUUGAAUAGUUCAACUGUGCAUCAUUCAAUGUCAUACUACCAUAGUAAAUAACAUGGGAAAUUCGAUCAACUCUUUGUCCUAAAACUGCUCCUACUGCAUAAUCAGAUGCAUCACACAUGAGCUCAAAUGGUAAGCUCCAAUUUGGGGGCUGAAUGAUGGGUGAUGAUGUCAACAAUUGCUUUAAUUUUUCAAAAGCCACAAGACAUGAAUCAUUAAAGAUAAAAGGUACAUCCUUAGCAAGUAGAUUGCAUAAGGGUCUAGAAACUUUGCUAAAAUCUUUAAUGAAACGUCUAUAAAAACCAGCAUGCCCAAGGAAAGAUCUUACUUCUCUGACUGUUUUGGGUGGAGGAAGAUUAGAAAUGAGAUCCACCUUGGCUUUGUCAACCUCAAUACCUUUGCUCGAAAUGAUGUGACCGAGAACAAUACCUUAUUUUACCAUAAAAUGGCACUUCUCCCAAUUUAAGACUAAGUUCUUUUCGAUACAUCUCUGCAGAACUAGUGUUAGAUGAUGUAAACAUUGAUCAAACGAGUCACCAAAGACAGAAAAAUCAUCCAUAAAGACUUCAAGGAAUCGUUCAACCAUAUCAGAAAAAAUGCUCAACAUGCAUUGUUGAAAUGUAGCAGGUGCAUUACAUAAUCCAAAUGGCAUUCUCCUAUAUGCAAAUGUGCCAAAAGGGCAAGUGAAAGUAGUUUUCUCUUGAUCUUUUGGUGCUAUGGGAAUCUGAUUAUAUCCUGAGUAGCCAUCUAGAAAGUAAUAAAAUUCAUGGCCUGCCAAUCUAUCAAGCAUUUGAUUGAUAAAUGGUAAAGGAAAAUGGUCUUUACGUGUGACAGAAUUCAACUUUCUAUAAUCAAUGCAUACACGCCAUCCUGUAGUCACUCUAGUGGGUAUCAAUUCAUUAUCGGCAUUGGUAACUACUGUGACUCUUGACUUUUUAGGGACAACUUGUACAUGACUGACCCAUGAACUAUUAGAAAUUAGGUAAAUGAUACCUGCGUCUAAUAGCUUAAGGACUUCAGUUCUAACAACUUCUUUCAUGUUAGGAUUUAACCGACGUUGCAUUUCCUUAGUAGAUUUAGCAUUUUCAUCAAGGUGAAUGUAAUGCUUGCAGUCUACUGCGUUUAUACCUUUGAUGUCUACUAUAGUCCAUCUUAAUGCUCCUUUGUGCUCUUUUAAAACAUCCAACAACUUAGCUUUUUGUUCGUCAUUGAGGGAUGAUGAGAUGAUUACCGGCAGAUAACUUUCUUCUCCCAAAAAUGCAUAUUCCAGAGUGUUGGGCAAUGGUUUGAACUCGAGUUUCGGUGGUGAUUCUGAUGAUGGGAUGAGUUUAUUUUCUGAUGGUGCUAGUUGUUCAACUCUUGACUUCCAUUUAUUAGUGUCCAUGGAUGAUGCUGAGUUAAGUAGAGCGUUGACCUCAUCGACUGAUCUAUCAAUAUCAAAAUCCAAACCAAAAUGAGUUAAACAUGUUUGUAAAGGAUCAUCACUAAGAUUUGAAACAAAAGUAUCAUCAACUAAUGCUUCAAUUAAAUCCAUAUCAACAAUUCCAUCAUCUGCAUUGUGAGGUUGUUUGGCAAUGUUGAAGAUGUUUAGCUCCAUAGUCAUGUUGCCGAAGGACAACUGCAUAUUUCCAGUCCUGCAUUGAAUGUGAGCAUCUGCAGUUGCUAAGAAAGGUGGGCCUAGAAUAAUGAGGAUGUGCUUCUUUGAAUCCUGUAUUGGUUGAGUGUCAAUUACAAUGAAAUCAACAGGAAAAUAAAACUUGUCUACCUGGAUAAGCACGUCCUCCACAAUACCACGAGGUAUUUUCGUGGACCGAUCUGCAAGCUGUAACAUCACUGGAGUUGGGUGUAAUUCUCUCAAUCCAAGUUUUACGAAAACUGAAUAAGGCAACAAAUUUACACUAACUCCUAAAUCCAACAAAGCAUUCUCAAUUGUGUGGUUCCCUAUACUACAUGAGAUAGUGGGGGAGCCUAGGUCUUUGCAUUUUAGAGGAAUUUUAUGUUAGAGGAUAGAACUAACGUUUUCUGUUAAAAAUGCCUUCUUUUGAACAUGAAUGUUUCUCUGUUUAGUACAAAGGUCUUUAAGAAACUUGGCAUAAGAUGGAACUUUCUUUAUAGCAUCAAGCAAAGGAAUGUUAACACUUACCUAUUUGAAGAUUUUAAGAAUCUCACUUGUGGAUUUCCCCUUUUUUCCUUUAGCUAACCUCUGAGGAAAUAGAGCUUUGGGAACAUAUUCUCGUGGGUUGGUUUCUUCUUUCUCCUCCGAUGAUGAGUCCUCAAUAUUCACAGGUACAAUUUGAUUCUCUUUUGUCACCGGCAUCUCCACUUUAUUGUCGACUUCUUUUCCUUUUCGCAAGGUCAUGGCAGCUUUGACCUCUCUAUGCUGUUGUGGUGAACUGGUACUUGCUUCAUGUACUCCUUUAGGAUUAGGCACUGGUUGACUUGGAAACUUGCUUUUCUCAAUAGUCAUUGCCAAGGUCUGAACUGAAGAAGCAAGUUGUCCCACCAUCUUCUCGAGGUUUGAAACUGAUUGGGCUUGUGAGUUGAAGCCCGCUCUCAACUCAUUUUGUAGUCCAUCAAUGGUGCGGUUCUGUUGCUCAAUCGUAGAGUGAGUAACAUUCUUCAAAUUCUGGAAUGCAUCCUCCCAUGGUCUGGGUUGAGAGUAUUUCUGGUUCUGAUUGUAUGGUCUAAAUGGUGGCUGAGAGGCUUGAGGAACUUGAGGAAUUUGUUGCAUUGGUGGAGCUGGAGCUGCUGGUCCAUUCUGUUGGAAUCAUUGAGACCAUGAAAAAUUGGGGUGGUCUCUCCAUCCAGGGUUAUAUGUGUUGGAGUAUGGGUUGUAAUUUAAUGGUUUUCUCAUUACACAUAUGGUAUUGGCUUGAUCUGAGUAUGAGUCAUGGUCAUGUGGUUCUGUUGAUUUAGCAGUCGAUAACGAUGCUAUUUGUCGAGCGAGACCUUCAACCAUAUCCUUGACUUCUUUGAUUCCUGAAGUUGACUCACCAAUGUGAACCUCAUUCACUCCUUUAAUUCUUCUAGUAUUCCUGAGUGACCGACUCCGUUGUUAGGAAUUAUCCGCUUGUCGCUAGAAGAAUUCCCAAAUUUCUGAUGCACUUUUUGACAUUAGGUCUCCUCCACUUGUUGCCAUUAGCCAUUCUUGCACAUUCGGCAAUAAUCCCUCUAAAAUGUAUUGGCAUUGGUGCCAUUUCUCGUACCCAUGAUGUGGACACUUCAAGAGUAGCCCAUUGAAUCGCUCCCAUGUUUCGAAAAACUGCUCGUCAUCUCUCUUUGUAAACUCUGAAAUCUCCCUGCGAAUAGCAUUGGUUUUAUGCACUGGGAAAUAUUUAUUCAAAAAUUUAGUUACCAUUUGUUCCCAUGAUGCAAUGCUAUUAGCAGGCAAUAUAUUAAGUCAUGAACGAGCUCUAUCCUUUAAAGAAAAUGGGAAUAGUCUAAGUUUUACAUCAUCAUCUGAAAAAUUCUCAUAUUUAAAUAUUAGACAAAUAGCAUGAAAAUCAUUCAAAUGAUUAUAUGGGUCCUCAUUUUCUAGGCCAUAGAAUGUUGGGAGACAAUUUAGCACGCUAGGUUUUAGUUCAAAACUCCUAGCAACUACAUUUGGGUAUCUUAUGCAUGAUGUGCUCAAAUUAGCUAAAGGACUGAAGUAGUCCUUAAUUGGCCUCUCAUGUGGUUGCAAAUCCAUUUUAUUUUUAACUUGUUUGUGUGUGCGAAGUGUUUUCUCAAGUUCAAGAUCUAUAGAUUCAAGACUAGGUAAUAACGACCUUCGACCAUGCAUGCAAAACAAAUAAAAUAAAAAUAAAGAUGAGAACAAAACAAAUAAAAAUAAAGAAGAUAGAGAAAUUACGAUACUAACCUUAUACGCUGUUAAAACCUUUUUAUAAAAAUACACAAAAACAAAUACGUGAAAUAAAUUAACUAAAAAUAAAUUAAUAAGAUAAAAAAAAAUUUACAAAGAUAAAUAAAUUGAAAAUUAAAUUGCAGAAUUUUAAAGAAGAGAAAAAGAAAAGAAAUACUAACCUUUAAAUGUAGAUUCAUUUUUUUUCUUUUUUUUUAAUAAAAAAAUACAAGAAAACAAUUUAAAAGAAAUGAUUCACAAAACUUAAUUCUAUGAAUUAAAAUUACUUACCUCCCCGGCAACGGCGCAAAAAACUUGUUGUGCAAAUUUUAUUGAACUCGCAAGUGCACGAAUCUAUUGUAGAAUAGACUAAUGGUGACGAGUGUCGAUCCCACGAGGAGGUGGAUUUUAAUUGUGUGUAGAAUUAAAUUUGUAAAUGGGUGGUUGGAUUUGUGGUGAAAAUGAUUUGGAUUAUCCUAAAAUUGGAAUUGAAAUGGCGAGAAUAAAUUGAAGAGAAAUAUAUUGAGAUGACGUACUUGGGUAUCUGGAUCCGUAUCAACAUGCAUCAUGGGCUAAAUAAUCCUUAUUAAUGCCAAUUAAAUCAUGAGGGGGGAAUCCACAUCUCAUGAACCACGCUCUAAUCAAUAUGGUGCUAAGGGCUUAUCGUGCCAAAUAAUAAUAACUUUGUACUAGGGAGCCGGUGAAACCAAUGCGGUACUAGACAAAAUUAGUAUUAUUUGUCGACGAGAAGUCAAAACAUUCACAAAAAUUAGAGGGGAAGAGAAAGUAAAUUUACCAAAUAAAGCCCAUGACACAUGUUGAGACUUCACCUUCAACCCAAGCUUGAAAGAAAAUUAGCCACUCAUAAUUGAACUAGGGGCAAAAUAGGAAUUUAUUAAAAUACGUAGAAAAUACAAGAUGGAGAAGGAAUUACAGAAAAUGGAUCCCAAAAAUGGAUUCAGAGAUAUCAAAUUAGGGAGGGGAGGCCCCCUUUUUAUAGAUACAUCGAGUAAAUCAUGGCCAUCGGAUUAAAAACAGUUUGGACGCUCAGGAUUGCGCCACGUCAUCAGUCAACAGUACGCGUAAAUAGUAUGCGGUUUGACCACGUGGAUGAACAGUAACACGGUUUGACCUGGGUGAACAGUAACGCGGUUUGGUUGAAAAUAAUCGUGUGUGUUGCAUGUACUGUACGUGAGAUUUUUGGUCCACUGAUAUGCUGCCACGUUAUCGAUCAACAGUGCAUAAGAAUUUUAGUCGAACAGGAUCGUGACACCUCAUCUGUCAAUGCCACAUCAUCGGUCAAUGCCACGUCAUCGAUCCGUCUAUGUGAACAGUGUCGUGAACAGUAACGUAGACAGUACUGUACAUGUGAAUAGUACUGUACAUGUGAACAAUGCCAUUUUUCCUUUUAUGCUCCUCCUAAGGUUUUCGACCGUCCUGAGUUCAAAAGUGAUGUCCGUUUUACCGUCUGAUCUCUCGUUUAUUAUGAAAUGACUAUGACGCCCCUAAAAUACAUAAAACACUUAAUUAAAAUAAAACACACAAUUAAAUUACAAGAAGCUUAAACACAUAAAAGUAAGGGUUGUUAGUAAGACGUGAAAUGUAAAAUGACGAUUUUCUCCUUUAUAAAUAUGCAUUUUCUAACACUCAACACAUGUUGGUGAAAAAUCUUUGCAAACUCUAGUGAAGCAAGGCUUAUUGAAAGGUGCAAAUUCAUGCAAAUUAGAAUUUCGUGAACAUUGUGUUUUGGGCAAGCAGACAAGGGUAAUGUUUGGUUCAACAAUUCACAAUACAAAAGGGAUUCUGGACUAUGUUCAUAAUGACGUGUGAGGUCCUACCAAAACAACUUCUUUAGGAGGUAUGCACUAUGUUAUUACUUUUGUUUAUGAUUAUUCAAGAAAAGUGUGGGUGUAUUUGAUAAAGAAUAAAAGUGAAGUUUUGGGCACAUUUCUGAAAUGGAAGAAGAUGGUCGAGACUCAGAUUGGUCGAAAGGUCAAAAGACUUUGCUCAGAUAAUGGUGGUGAGUACAAGAAUGAUCUAUUUCUACAAAUAUGCCAAGAUGAGGGCAUUGUUCGACACUUCACUGUUCGAGAUACACCACAGUAGAAUGGGGUGGCAAAACGCAUGAACCGGAUAAUAUUGGAGAAAGUUUGGUGUAUGUUGUCCAAUGCUGGAUUGGGCAAAGAGUUUUGGGUUGAGGCAGUUGUAUAUGCGUGCCAUUUAAUCAAUUGUGUGUCAUCAACUGCAAUUGAGGGUAAAACACCCAUAGAGAUGUGGACUUGUAAUCCUACUAGUGAUUAUGAUUCUUUACAUGUUUUUGGUUCCACUGCUUAUUAUCAUGUAAAGGAAUGCGUUAGACCUAAGAACAAAGAAAGCAUUGUUCAUGGGUAUAACUGAUGGAGUAAAAUGAUAUCGUCUUUGAUGUCCUGGUAAAAAAAAGAUUAUUUUCAGCAGAGAUGUAACUUUUGAUGAAUAAACCAUGUUGAAACAAAAAGAUUCUCAAGAGAAUGACAAGACCAGUAGCACUUUCCAGCAGGUAGAGUUUGAAAAAGUUAAAACUGAUCCAGCUGGUGUCGAUGUGACAGAUAGUGAUUUUCCAUCGAUCGAAGAUGAUGAAGAGGUUCUGACCCAGGAACCUUUAGAGCAACAAGAUUCAAUUGCAUGUCGAAGGCCACGCAGAGAGAUUCGCAGACCUACUCGCUUUGUUGAUAUGGUGGCAUAUGCAAUUCUAAUUGUAGAUGACGAUGUUCCUUCCACUUACAGAGAAACAGUAAGUAACCCAGAAAGUAUACAAUGGAAGAGAGCAAUGAACGAAGAAAUGCAAUCUCUUUACACAAAUGAAACUUGGGAGUUAGUUAAACUGCCAAAGGAAAAUAAGGCAAUUGGGUGCAAAUGGGUAUAUGCAAAAAAGGAAGGAUUUUCUCGUAAAAAUGAAAUUCGAUACAAGGCUAGAUUGGUAGCGAAAGGUUGUGCUCAGAAUGAAGGAAUAGACUACAAUGAGGUAUUUUCUCUAGUUGUGAAACACUCAUAUAUUCGAAUUUUGCUAGCCAUGAUUGCGCAAUUUGAUCUUGAACUAGUUCAACUUGAUGUAAAAACUGCAUUUUUACACUGUGAUUUGGUAGAGGAAAUCUACAUGAUUCAACCAGAUGGAUUCAAGGUUGCUAGAAAAGAAAUUUGGGUUGCAAAUUGACAAAGUCGCUUUAUAGAUUGAAACAAUCUCUGAGACAGUGGUACAAGCGAUUUGAUCAAUUUAUGAAAGGGCAAUGGUAUACAAGAAAUAAAUUUGAUCAUUGUGUAUAUUUUCGCAAGCUACAAGAAGGAUCUUUCAUUUAUUUGCUAUUGUAUGUCGAUGAUAUGCUAAUAGCAUCCAAGAGUAAAGAUGAGAUUGAGAAGUUAAAGACUCAACUCAAUCAAGAAUUUGAAAUGAAAGAUCUAGGUGAAGUUAAGAAGAUUAUUGGCAUGAAGAUAUACAAAGAUAGAGCUCGUAGCAAAGUAAGCUUGUCUCAGAAGCAAUAUUUGAAGAAGGUACUACAGCAGUUUGGCAUAACUGAGCAGACAAAACCUGUAAGUACCCCAUUGGCUUCUCAUUUCAAGCUUUCUGCACAAUUAUCUCCUUCAACAGAUGAAGAAUGAGAAUACAUGUUACAAGUUCGGUAUUCAAAUGCAAUGGGUAGCUUGAUGUAUGCAAUGGUGUGUACAAUGACUGACAUUUCACAUGCAGUUGGUAUAGUGAGCAGGUAUAUGCAUAAUCCUGGUAAAGGACAUUGGCAAGCUGUGAAAUGGAUUUUACGGUACAUUCAGAAGACCAUGAAUAUUGGUUUACUGUUUGAGAGAGACGAUACAAUUGGUCAAGGUGUGAUCGGGUACGUUGAUUCUGAUUAUAUUGGUGAUUUGGACAAACGAUGGUCAACCACCGGAUAUGUAUUUACUUUGGCUGGAGGGCCAAUCAGUUGGAAGUCUACACUAUAGUCUAUAGUUGCAUUGUCGACAACAGAGGCCGAGUACAUGGCGAUUACAAAGGCUGUUAAAGAGGCUAUUUGGUUACAAGGCUUGCUUGAAAACUUAGGAUUUGCACAAAAGCACAUUAAUGUGUAUUGUGACAGUCAAAGUACUAUUCAUUUAACAAAAACAAGUUUAUCAUGCGCGUACGAAGCACAUCGACGUAUGUUUUCAUUUUGUGCGGGAAAUUGUUGAUGAGGGGAAGAUAGACAGAGACUAGAGGAUGGUUUGUUGAUAGUCGGCUCAGAUUUACUAAAUUUUCGCCAAGGUAGAGAAUUGUUCAAAAGUCAAGUAUGUUUGCAUGAGCCAGCUAGCAUGCAAAUUUCAAGCACAUCAAUUUUGAGCUAACGUGAUCCAAUUGCAUGUGCUAGCAUGAUCUCGCUACCAAAAGUCACACCAAAGUCAUUAAAAUUGAAAAUGGCCAAAGUUUUUUUCAUGCAUUCAUAUUGUAAGCUUUGCCUAUAAAUAGAGGAGUAGAAUGCAUUUGUAACGCAUCCCAAUUUGUGAGAAGUAGAGAGCAAUUGUAAGUGAGCUGUUUGAGAGAAUUUGAGAGAGCUUCCACUUGAGUGUUUAAGUGAAGUUCCAUUUGGGUGUAUUGGGGUUGUGGGUUUUGUGAGUUUUUCCCACUUUUGUAAAUUCCCAUUAUCAGUAAAAUUAUCUUACAGUCUUUGCCCAUGGACGUAGGCUUUAUGUCGAACCACGUAAAUUAUUGUGUCAUAUUUUCUUUGCAUUUAUUUGUCAUAUUUAUAUUUCUCCAAAAGUUACAGUUAUCGUAAUAUUGGUAAUUGCUCAACCUCACACUUCCGCAACAUAAAGCUCUCUUUGACGUUCCCACCUAAGCAUGAUUAAUUUAAUAUAAUUUUAUUCGCUUUAAUUAAUUUAAUAUGUAUAUAUGCAUGUUUUAUUCUUUGCAGAACGUAUUUGCUGUUGGAACAAACACAAGUGCAACAACUAUGGUUUGGUCCAUGACCUACCUAAUGAAUAAUCCUAGAGCAAUGAAAAAAGUUCAAAUGGAAAUCAGAUCAUUGAUUGGGGGCAACAAAGGCUUUGUAAAUGAAGAUGACGUUCAAGAAAUACAUUAUCUUAAAGCAGUAGUGAAGGAGACGAUAAGAAUGCAACCCACAGAGCCGUUACUACUCCCAAGAGAAACAAUUGAGAAGUGUAUAAUAGAAUGGUAUGAAAUACCAGCUAAAACACAUGUUUUUGUAAUUGCGUGGGCGAUAGGACGAGAUCCUGAAACUUGGCAGAAUCCUGAGGAAUUUUAUCCCGCAGGGAUUAGUUGAUAGUUGUAUUGACUUUAAAGAGCAACACUUUGAGUUAAUACCAUUUGGUGCUGGCAGAAGAAUUUGUCCUGAUUUGAAUAUGGAAAUUCAAAUGUGGAUCUUGCACUUGCUAAUCUUUUUUACAAAUUUGAUUGGCAAAUGCCGCCUGGAAUGAAGAGCCAUGACUUAGAUGUUCGGCCUGGACUUGCCAUGCAUAAGAAGAACAUUCUUUCUAUUAAUUUAGUCGUAUGUUAAUGUUUUUUUUUAUAUUGUUAUGCAGUGAAUCAAGAGUCUAGGAAGAAAAAAUUAUGAUUUUGAACUUUCAUAAAGAUUCAAUAGCUCAGUACAUGUUUGUUGGGAGAACAUGUACCUCCCGGUUCGAGCGGAGAUUUCUAAUCUGAGUUGUGGUGCGGACUUAAAAAUGUCUCCCACAGUUGGGGCCCUCCCCAAAAUACCUCGUGGUUAAGACAAAAAAAAAAUAUAAAGCAAAAACCAUAAGGGAACGAGAUUUAAUGAAGGAAUUAGCAAGUGACGAAUAUUCCCAACACAAACAUGGGCAGGAGCUUGUCACUUAGUUAUAGUUCAUUGUCUUCGAUAACGUGAGAAACAUAAAUGCAGGCAUUUGGAGACUGAUUGUUUAUACAAAACAAGACAUGAUUAUACUCUCUCCCUCUUUUGUUAAACAUUUUACAUUGUUUAUUGUGAAAUAUAUAUAUUCCAAUUUAUCAUCAGUAGCUAGGAGAAUACACAUGCAUGUGGAAAUUUUCUAAUCCCAUGCAUGAGAGAGGAUAUAAUUAAUGUGAUCAUAUAUUAAAUAUCUAACAACCUAAUCCUAUACAUUUAGCUAGAUGAGAUUAAUUAGUACCAGAUAUCAUUAGCAUAACAUAAAAAUAAACCAAUAAUAAAAAAGGAAGACAAUAGAAUAAAUAAAAACUCCAAAAGUUAUACAUUACCUAGUUUUUAUGUGUCAUCAUUAAUUGGCGAGGCAUCUGUAUGGAGACCCUGUAUGAAUUUCUACUCCUAAAUUUUUGGGCUAAUAGAAUCUAUUCGGUUUUUUUAAUGUCCUAAAUAAAAAUUUAGGACUUUAAUUAGUUAAUUAGGCCUAAAAGUUUAAUAAUAUAAAUAUUUUGAUAUUUGUUAUUUUUACUAAUUUUUAUAAUUUUAUAAUUUAAAUUUUAUUAUUUAUUUACUAGUAAUUUUAAAAAAUAACAAUAAAAAUUAAAAUUAAAAUUAAAAUGGGGAAAUGGGUAGUGGAUGGGGAUUCCACCUCAUCCCCGUCCCCUCCCCUCAUACCCUCUCCGAAUGGGGAAAAUUCCCGAGGGUACCCGUCCCGUGAGGAUUUUUGUCAUCCCUAAGUAUUUUUAAGCAAACAAACACGUGCUCUCCCCGUGACCUUUAAUGCUCAUAACGCACCAAAACGCUGCCAUUUUAUGUCUGACGAGUUUGAUUCACCAGCAGGCCUCACAGCUCACAACCAUUAUUUGUAGAAUUGGUUUUGGCAAGAGGUACGUGAAGAUGAAGCAACAAGUGAAAGAAGUAGAUUCCAUGCCUUGCUUGAUGAAACUCAAGCCUUGCUUGUAAGCUUCUUUGUUACAGGUUAUUUUCCUUUCAUAGGAAUGUUGCAACGCCCGCAAAAUAACUUCCAAGAAAUCGACAGAGUCUACCAGGAACUCAUAGACAAGUUUCUGGAUCCAAACUGAACAAAAAUAGAACAGCUGCAACAGGAGGAUGUAAUUGAUGUUUUACUUCAAAUACGAAAAGACCGUGGAUUUAAAGUUGAUCUGACUAUGGAUCACAUCAAAGCAGUGCUCAUGGUUGAUAAUUUUAUAAAUAGUUAAUUAUUCUAACUCAUGCUUAGGGGCGGACUCAAAAAUUUUGUGCAGAUACCCACUCUUACGGUGUUGUAGAACAUUUUACAACAUUUAAAGUGCUCUCUGAUGUUCCCAUCUGAGCAUAAUAUUUACUAAGAAAAACAUGUAUAUAUAGUUGACUGAAAUAGAAUUCAAGGAAGACAUUACAUAGUACGAAUUUGAUUUAUUUCGAUGGAGUUUGAUUAAUGAAAGUAUAUGAAAGUGUAAAGAAAGUGGUAAAAAAAUUUGGUUAUGUAAAAGUUAUAUAGGCAACAUAUUAUUGUCAUAUUCCUAUUAAGGUACAUUUGAUUGUGAUGAUUAUGCAAAUAAAAUAGAUCCAUAUAUGUCUUUAAAGAUGGUUUUGACUUAAACUCGCGGAGUGUUGUAUGCUCAAUUUUGAGUUCUAUUAUUAGCCUUGCACCUAUCCUGGAUUAUUUCGAGGGUAGAUAAAAUUAAUUCUAUUAAUGCUAUCAUGUUUUCUUCUUCAAAUGAAUCGAAUAUUUCUGGAUCAUUAAUUCCUUUUAUUUCUUCAUUGUUUGCUUGUAGUUAAUCUAGUUUUAACCACAGAAAUUGUAUAACCAACUUGAUAUUCUUGACUAAAGUCUAAAUGAUCAAUUGCAUCUAGAAAUUUAUUAACAGAUCUUUCCAUUUUUAAGAAAUUGAGUUACUCUUAUCACUUCCUAUCUUGUAACAUCUCUGAAAGUAAACAGGGCCUAACAUGCUUCCAUUUGUGGCUAAAAUAAAAGAAGAGUUCAGAUCACUAACCAGUGUACUAUCUCUUGAAAUUUUAAAAUAGACUCACUAAUUACCUCCAACCAUAGAGAGAUUCAUGGUUGGCACUGCCAUAGCUCCACACAUCAUACAAGAUCACUUCAGUGAUUGUUCCACACAGUCCAACGUAACACACAACAGACUGACCUAAUAGGAUAUGUCUAAGUGAUUUCCUUGCAGUUGUCUCUGGAAGAAUGCUUAGUAAUAGAAAAUCUUCUUCAUUUAGCACAAGUAUUGGCAUGUAAGUUUCCUGGUUAGUUUUCAAAGGAUAUAUAAGAUAUUUGGAAGAUGAUAAUUUCACUCAAAAGAGGUUUAUUUAUUUCAUUAUUGAAAUUGUUUACAGAUGAUGGUUACAGAGAAUACAAAGAUAGGUGAAGGUUAGACAUAUGAUGUAUUUUCCUUCUUACAUGUUUCUAUUUAUCCUCUUAAAGAGAUAAGGUUAUCUCUUUUACAUGACAUAUGUUCAAAUUUCUUAGUGGAUCGUGGAUUCCCUUUUGAUAAGGUGACCCCUAUUUUUUUUAUCAUUAAAGACAGUAGUUGUCUUUUUUUCCUAAUGGCAGACAAUUUUAUCUUGUUGUGGUGAGCUUUAUCUUUUUGGAAUAUUUCUUUUUGAAUUUUUUAUGCUUUUAGGAUAGCAUCUUUUAUCUUUUUCAAUGGGCCCUGUCACAUGUCAAUUAUUAGAUCUUCAUCUAAAGACAUUUCUUCCCCAUAAGAAUCUCCUUUUGAUCCUUCGUAGCAGUAGCCACAUGAUGACUGAUACUUUAGCACCUUGCAUAUCUCGUGGUGCAUCUAGAGACAUGUCUUCUCCGCUAGAAUCUCCUUUUGAUCCUUCGUAGCAGUAGCCACAUGAUGACUGAUGCUUUAGCACCUUGCAUACCUUGUGGUGUGUUAGUAAGCUGGAUUCCACGAGAUUUUCAUAUAUAUAUUUUUUUUCUUUUUAAAUAUGCCAUGUCUGGCUAAAAUACUUUCUUUUCUACUCAUAGAAAAUAUUAUAUGCUCUUUUGUGGCUUCGUGAAGCCAUAUUUUCUCCUUACUUAUCUUCUCAAGAGAUUUAUAGAGGACUUUCAUUCCUAUGGUCCUUUUGCUAGUGAGAGCUUUGGGCUUGAAUAAUUCAGGAUGAUAAUCAUUGUAGACUUGAUGAUUAAACAAUUGUUUCGUCCUUUUUUAUAUUUUAAACCAAAAACUUGGCUCUAAUACCAUUUUUGAGGACAAAUUCAACCCAAAAUCCAAGUAAGGAUGUAUAUGAUUAAUUUUCAAGAUUUUAUGAAAAUUUUGUAAUUAUCCUUUUUCAAAACUCACCGUUUUGUACAAACUUUUGUGCAAUCCUCUGUGAGGAUGUCUUUUUCCAAUCUUGUUUUAUCCUUGCGCCAUCUUUUACUGCUGUCUUUUAGCCCCGGACAUCAUUAUCAUUUUUCAACCGUUUCAACAGGCUGGCCACCACAAACUGUUUUAAUGCAUUUAUCCACAUCCGUUCUUUUUCGGAAGCAAAAUCAAACGUUCAUCAUUUCGUGUUUGUUGCAUACAUUCGCAUGUAACGUAGCAGGGGCCUUUUUGACAUAUCACAACAGUUUUUCCUUUUCCUUUUUCUUAAAUGAAAUACUGUUGUGUUAGAAUUUACGUUCCACGUAAAGUUGACGGUAAAAACUAAAUUCCGAUUUGAGUAUUGAGAUCCCGUUUCGAAAGGUAUGAGAUUCAAUGCUAAUUUUUAAAAUCGAUUUGGAAUUGGUCGGAAUUUGAGACAAAAUUUUGUGUCUAUUAAUGAUUGGGAUGGGAUCGAGACAAUCAACGAAGUCGUUGCUAGCGAUUACAGGCUCAGGCAUAAUACUUUUACAUCCAGCUUUUUCUGAUUUUCUUUUAAGUUACAUUAUACGAAAUACUUGUGACUGCACUGCGCAUGUGUCUUUGAUAGUUCAAUUAAGGCUCCAUAACUGAUGGAAGCCCUUGGAAACUGGUAAUUUGAGUCAUUUGCAGUUGAUGUUCCAGAAGGAAACGCCAAGGUUGAGACAUGUUACUUUCGGAUGCUUUUCCUUUAAGGCCUAUUUUUUUUUUUUUAAUUUAUAGCUUUUAAUAUCAUUUUAAAUUUGUCCGAAAGUAUCUUUUUUACCAAUAAUGUUUGUAAAUCAAGAAAUAGUUAAAAUUCCGCUAGGUGAAAAUACAAGUUUGGAAUUUUAUUUUUGAGUGCAGACGAAUUUUAUUUUUUAAUUGUGGCUGAGUUAGGUAUAGGUAAAUCUAUACUGAAACAGUAAAACUCACUCAUUGCCAUCCGUAAGAUUGCUAUAAGGUUAAAUAAAUAAAAGAAAUUAAAAGAUAAUUCUGUCUGAGGAUACAAAUAAAAUCGGAGCCUUAACAAUCUUCGUUGGAAAAAAAAAAGAAGAAAAAAAGAAAGAAACACUAUACGCAUCCUUUACUCCACUUAAUUUUUCAUUUAAAAGUCUAUUGUAGGUGUAAAUUACGGCACCUCCACCAAUAGGGGUGCGAUCUAAACGUAAUAUACAUUAUAGAGAUUGAUGUCCAUGUGCUCCCACAGUUUUAAGUAAUUUUUUGCUUAUCAAAAAAAAAUUUUUUUUUUUGAAUGAACUAUCCAAGUCCGAUAUAUCCGAGUGGGUAAUUGCACAUUAUCUAUUCCCUGAUGUCACAUAUUUUUGUCUUUCACUGUCCUUAAAUUACAAUGAAAUGGAAUAAUAUUGGCAACAGUAGAAAAUAUAAUAAGUAAAAAAUUUAUAAAAAUAAUGUUUUGUUUUAUAAUGAAAAGUUUAAAUAGAAAUAUGAAAGUAAAAAGUUAAACACAAAAUAAAAUAAAGAAAGAUAAAAGAAUUUUUUAAAAGGAGAAAUAUAUUAUCUUUAAUUAGAAAAUGUUUCAUUUUAAAUAAGAACUAUAAUUUGUCAUUUUAUUAUAUUUGAUUUAGUUUAAUUUGAUUGUAUUUAUUUCUUGGAUUAGGGAAUGAUAAUGAUAUUCAUUCCUUAUUGGUAGUGCUUACUUGCAAAAAAUAUGGAGGAAUAAGAAUAGAUUUUGGGUGGAGUCCAUAAAUUUGAAAAAAAAAGAAUGAGAAUCUCAUUGGCAUGAGUAGAGGUGGGAAUACAAAUUGGGGAAUGAAUUUUUAUCUUUAAAAAAAUAAAAAUUCCUUUUUUAUCUCAUAUUAAUAUUAAAUUAUUAUUAUUAUUGAUGUUAUUAUUUAUACUAAAAAUAUUUAUUAUUUAUUUUUUUAGUGAACAAAUACAUAACUGUAACUAAGGUCAUAUAAGUAUCUUACAACAAUUUAUUACGAUUAUAAGAUAAAAUAGACACAUUAAUUAGAAUAUAAUUUAUUCUAAUUCUGAUUCUUGCAGUUCAAGUAUAAAUUUAUUCUAGUUCUUAUUUUACAUUUUAAUUCCCGUAUAUUUCGAUAUUAGCCUAUUCUAAUUCCUAUCUAUUUUGAUCCCGAAAAAAUAAAUGAUCUAAUUCAAUUAUAAUAGGGGCAUUAGAGGCUAAAUUUAAACUUAAAGAGUAGUUCCGAUAUUAAACCAUAUUUUAAGGACAUCAAUGAAAAUGUAAUCAACAAAAAAAAAAAAGUUACACCAUCAUCGUUUUGUUGGCAACAAUAACGUUGAAGUGGUCUGUCUCCUUGCGAGUUGUGCGACCCCUUCGGUCGCAAGGAGAUGCCAAUCUUUUCAAUUUGUCGAUUUGCUUUCCUAAAGCAAUAAAAUAAAACUCAAAGCCCCACUUCAAAACUUGUGCAAGAAGGAAAUGUAACUGACGUAUGCUGUCUUUCCAUUUCUUGGUGCAUGUAUAUAUAAGUCUGAAUAUCAGCUGAGUCGGCCAACACCUGCAAGCAAUUUUAGUUUUUCGGUAAGUAUUGUUUCCUUAUCCUAUGAAUUUAUCUUCAAAUUUAUUAUAUUUUCACUUCAAUUGUUUCUUAGUUUGGUUUAAUGUAGUGCGAAGUUAAUUUAUCAACAUUCCACCACAUAAGCGGCACUGGAAGGACCCACAGAGGCCAUCUCCAGCUCCACAGAUGCUUGUGCCUAAAUUCAACAGAAGCUUAAACUUGGGAUUGCCCAAGCUUAAUGAAGACAGGAGUGCAAAUAUUGUGCAUGCAAGGCAUGCCGUAUUCAGGUGGUUUGCCGUAGGCUUGGAUGGUGAUAGCGGCUUUCCUACUUCUUUCCAAUCUGAACCGUCCUCAGUGGAGCCUGUUGAGCAUAAAAGAGGAGUAAAGCCGUUAGUUUUAGUGAACAACAAUCUGGCUGAAGGUUAGUGUUCUGCCUUUUUUUUUUUGUUUUAUCUUAAUUUGUUCUACUUUCGUUCUUGAUUUAUGUCUGGUGUUAACUUUGCUUAUGUGGACAUUUGGCUUUCUCGUUGGUAGAUAAUGAUGAAGUGAGGGGGAAUAUAUGAAGAAGCCCAGGGGGACCGGCAGCAGAAAAUGUAUGGCCAGACGUGUUGAGUGCUUAUAAGAUUGUCAAGAACGAAUUGGAGAAAAAGCCAACAAUUGCUAGAUUUGGCGAAGUUCAUUUCCAUAGAUAUGUGAUCUGGUUCCCAUUGCUGCUACAGCGUGAAUGUUUUGUGUUAGAUCAUUCCUCUCCUUUCUUUCGACUUUGAACUUAAAGCAAACAAAAAUGCAUAUUUAUACUAAAUCUGACAGACAUCUUGUGUUAGUAUUACUUGAUUUCUGGUAUGAGAAACAAAUCAAUCUCUUGCCGCCGUGAGUCCGUGACCAAGUUUUAUUGUUUGAAUUUUCAUAGGGACAACACAUUAUAUCAUUGCUUGACCUUAUUUCUUGCAGUAAAAAUGAUUCCAUUCUUCUAUCACAUUUUUGAAACAUCCAUUAGUUUUUGUAUUACAAGCGCCUCAAAGAAGUAAUUAUAUCAUUCAUCUCGAUGCAGGAACAAUUUACUGCACUUAGGAAGUGAAAAGGAAGGUCAGGUUGCUGAAGAAACCACUUUGAGGCAAAUGAAGUGAUCCUUUUACUCAAAUGUCCCUGCUACAUACAUGGAAGACAUUAUAAAUGAAGUUAUGCCAAAAAUUGGAGUUUAUUUUGAAGAGUACAAGGAUAUAUAUACCAUGUCAAGGUAGUUCUUCUGCUAAAAUCUUCAGUAUUAGUGAUCAAGUUUCGUUUAUCUCCCACUUAAUUAACCAUUGAUUCUUCCUACUCCCCGCCCCGGCAGUGUAGUUGCCUGACAGCAGGCGACAAAACUCAACUAUUUCAUGCAAAUCUACUGUUAAAGAAGAUAAAACACUUGAGCUCUAGAAGGCAAGUUUUCUGCUCCUGGCUAACUAUUCUUUAUGGACAAUGGAUCGAAUAUUGUGUUUGUUGCCUGUGUUUUAAAGGAGAUUUUUGCUACUUCAAACAUUGCAACAGGACUUUUGCUGUUUUGAAUUAAAUAGAUGAGGGUUUGAAUUUAAUCUUUUCAAUGUGAAUCAUGAAGGAUCUAUUCAAAAUAAAAGUGAUAAAGAUUAAGAAUGAACUUAAGAAACUAAGAGCUUUUAGAAAUCUUUGAAGAAAUAAUAUCAAUUUGAUAGGAAAAGAAUUUAAAAUGAAGAAAAAAAGAUAAUUGAUAAGAAGUAAGACUAACUGUACAUCUGAUUGAGGAACAGGCUUGUUAAUUCAAACUAUUAUAACCAAUUGGGAAUUGAAUUAAGUUAACAGUUAACUCGUAAUUGAAUGUCUAAACUAACAAUGUAUACAAUUACAGAUGAGACUAUAAAAUUGCAAAGAUACUGCUGAUUGUGAAUCAAUUUGAACAUGCCAAUCCUUAGGAAUUCCUUUCAGUAUCAUGGGAUUUAGAUCUCAAUUAUCUUUUUUUUUAUUUGAGUACGGUGACAUCCCGAACUAUCAAAAAUACCCACUUGUCCAUACAUGCCUAUGUCCACUUUAUCAUUUAUUUAUGAAAUGUUCUAAUUAAAUGGGGCAAGUCCAUAUAAUACAAUCAUUUUCAAUUGCCCAGCAUUUGGAAUACAGAUGCUUUGUUUCUUCGGUUUUUAAUUUUUUGUUCUUUUUCAUUUACUUGAUACAACUAAUAAGUAAAUUCAUGGCAUUUUCUAUCACCUCUUUUUUUGUUGGGAGUAUUAGUAAAUCAACUCUGUAAUGCUCUGCCUCUUUACCAUAAAAGCUGCAUUUUAAUGGCAUCAGCUUACAGUUAUGUGUGCUAAGUAAAACAAUUCUUUAUUGAGACAUUUUCAUCCUCCAGAAAAUACAUAAAUAAAAGACCAAACCAUCGUUAUUUUGAUUUCAUAACAGCAUCAUCCAUCACUUUCCCAUCACUUUCCUACAAGUUUUUGUUAGGAAAUUGAUGGGUGAAGCAAACACGUAGUUAAAAUAAAAUUAGAAGAAAAUAAAGAACAAGCACAAUAGAGAACACCAAAAAAUUACGUGGUUCGACUUUUAACCUACAUUCACAGGCGAAAACAAAAGUAAAAUAUUUCACUAGCGAUAUGAGGAUUACAAGUAUUAUAAUAUUUUAGCUCACUUCUUAGAACCCCAAUACACUCAAUCUCUCAAUCUCUCACUCACUAAACUCACAAGAGCUUUAUAAUUUUAAGUUCUGAAAAUUACUCAAGCUCUUUCUCACAAAAUUGAAUGCGAAAACGAAAAGGAGGAGCCUCCUUUUAUAGCCAAAAUAGGCUAUUAUUAAUUUAAUAUUUUAUUAUUAUUAUUAUUUUAUUAAUUUUUCUUUUCUUUUCCUUCUUCGCCCGGCAUCUCCUUUUUCUUCUCUCUUUCUUAUUUUCUUUGGGCGGCACCAAAUCCUUCUUCUUUUGUUUUCUUUUCCAACUAAAGAUGGUGUUGACCAUCUAGAUAGCCAAUUUUUUUAACAGCUUUAGAAGGCCGGAGGCUGAAACACAAUCAAUUGAGUUGUUAUUGCAUUUCUUACAGCAUGAGUGCGGGCGUGCGGCAAUUCAAUGGACUUUUUGGCACUUUUGAUGGACGGAGUUAAAUGGUGGGUUUCGGCUUGCAGUCACUUGUGUUUGUUCAAUUUUAUUUUUGUUAAAAUCCAUGAAUAUUAAUUACUACCUUAUUCACUGUUCAGUAAAAAUAAAACAACACCAGAAAAAGAUUUUUGCUAUAUAACAACAGUUUUUUUUUUUUUGUUUUCAAUUGAACACUAUUGUGUUAGAAUAUACUUCCCAGUUAAGGUUGAUAGAAAAAACCAAAUUUCAAUCAGUAUUUGGAUUCUGUCCCAAAACAAGCACUUACUGAUCACAACUUUAACUAACUUAUUUUUCCACCACACAAUUUGCUCAACUUUUAUUUGUACCACACAUUUUAAUUGCCACUAACUUAAGCAACUUGGCUAACAUCCCAGAUUUUUCUUAAGAUAUUUCUACAGAGGAUAGGGCUACCUUACAGAUUCUGUAAGGUACAGCCCUCACGUGAAUAGUAUUUGAUUGUGGGUCCGUGUGGGACCCACCACCAAGUUUGUGAGUCAGCUGUGACUUACCGAAUCUGUAAGUUAGUAAGCUCCUUCUACAGAUAUUUUAACAUUUUAGAUUGUAAAUUACUUUUCAACACUUGAUUUAAUCACUGAUUGUUGACGAUAACGUAGCCGGCAAAUUUGUUUCGUUGUGCUAACCGGACAAGCGAUAAGGACUUCACAAGAGUACAAAACAGAGCCUCGAUCUAAUAAUAUUACUGAACAUAGCAUUUUUGUUUCCUUAUUAAUGGAUUUGUUUCCUUAUUAAUGGAGAGAGGCAGUUCUGUUUUUGCAGUGAUUAAGCGCAUAGAAGAUAUUAAUGGCUUUACUUAUCAUCAUCAACUUCCUUUUGUGUCUCCCCUUCUUCCUAACCUCAAGAAAUAAUACUAAAUUACCACCCGGCCCCUGGGGCCUUCCCUUAAUCGGUAACUUACACCAGUUUGAUGUCUCAAAGCCUACACCAGUUUGAUGUCUCAAAGCCUCAAGUGUCAUUUUGGGAGCUGUCACGGAAAUAUGGCCCCCUCAUGUCCUUGCGUCUUGGUUUUGUGCCAUCCCUAGUAGUUUCCUCAGCAAAAAUGGCUAAAGAGAUAUUAAAAACCCAUGAUCUUCAAUUUUGUAGCAGGCCAGCCUUGGUAGGACAACAAAAGUUAUCUUACAAUGGUCUUGAUUUGGUAUUUUCACCCUAUGAUGAAUAUUGGAGAGAGAUAAGAAAAAUUUGUGUCAUUCAUCUCUUUAACUCUAAUAGGGUACAAAAUUUUCGACCCAUUAGAGAAGAUGAAGUUUCAAGAAUGAUUGAAAAGAUUUCAAAAUCAGUUGCUGCUUCUAAUCCCGUAAACUUAAGUGAGGUAAUGAUGUCUCUUACCAGCACCAUUAUUUGUAGAAUUGGUUUUGGCAAGAGGUACGAUGAAGAUAAAGCAACAAGUGGAAGAAGUAGAUUCCAUGCCAUGCUUAAUGAAACUCAAGCCUUGUUUGUAAGCUUUUUUGUUACAGAUUAUUUUCCUUUCAUGGGCUGGAUUGAUAAGCUCACAGGAAUGAUGCAACGCCUGCAAAAUAACUUCCAAGAAUUCGAUAGAUUCUACCAGGAACUCAUCAACGAGCAUUUGGAUCCAAACAGAACAAAAUCAGAAUUGGCGCAACAGGAGGAUAUAAUUGAUGUUUUACUUCAAAUAAGAAAAGAUCGUGGAUUUAAAGUUGACUUGACUUUGGACCACAUCAAAGCAGUGCUCAUGGUGAAUAAUUUUAUAAAUAGUUAUAUGUAGACUCGUGCUCAGGCGCAGACUUAAAAUUUUGUGCAGAUACCCAAUUUUACAGUCUUGUAAAAUGGUUUAUAAUGCUGUAAAGUGCCUUUGAUGUCCACCUGAGCAUGAUUAAUUUAAUGUAAUUUUAUUUGCUUUUAACUAAUUUACUAUGUAUAUAUGUAUGUUGUUUGCUUUGCAGAACGUACUCGUUGCUGGAACAGACACGAGUGCAGCAACUGUGGUUUGGGCCAUGACUUACCUAAUGAAGAAUCCUAGAGCAAUGAAAAAAGUUCAACAGGAAAUCAGAUUGUUGAUUGGGGCUAACAAAGGCUUUGUAAAUGAAGAUGAUGUUCAAGAACUACAUUAUCUUAAAGCGGUAGUGAAGGAGACAAUGAGAUUGCAACCCACAGUGCCAUUACUAGUCCCAAGAGAAACAAUUGAAAAGUGCGUAAUAGAUGGGUAUGAAAUACCAGCUAAAACACUUGUCUUUGUAAAUGCAUGGGCGAUAGGAAGAGACCCUGAAGCUUGGGAGAAUCCGGAGGAAUUUUAUCCGGAGAGAUUCGUUGAUAGCAUUAUUGACUUUAAAGGGCAACACUUUGAGUUAAUACCGUUUGGUGCUGGCAGAAGAAUUUGUCCUGGGUUGAAUAUGGGAAUCGCAACUGUGGAUCUCGCACUUGCUAAUCUUCUUUACAAAUUUGAUUGGGAAAUGCCACCUGGAAUGAAGAGCCAAGACUUGGACUUUGAUGUUCUGCCGGGAAUUACUAUGCAUAAGAAGAAUGCUCUCUCUCUUUUGGCUAAGUAUCAUGAGUGGGUAAAUUAAGGCACCUCGGACAAUAAGAGUUUGAUCUAAACUAAAUAUAUGUUAUAGAGAUUGCAUGUAUGUCCUCAAUUGUGCUUCUCAUGUUUCCUUUCUUUCCUCUUAUGUAUUAUGAAUGUUGAUGUCUAAGUGCCCAUAGGCUGAGUGGUUUUUAAUAAUUAAAUUUCUUUUAGUUCAAAAUUUUGGGAGGUAAGGACUAGAGAAUAAUGGUUACUCUGCUCACUCUCCUAUACUAAAAAAAAAAGGUUGAUAUGAAUGUGAAUAUUAAUCUACUACGUUCAUUUCAUCUCAUAUUUUUUCUCCUAUAUUUUUUUCUUUAAAUUUAACUUCUAUCACUUAACGUGCUAUCUUUUUAUAUGAUUGGAUAGAGAUUGAAAUUUUUGCUGUUCCACCUCGAUGUUAAUGCUAAUAUUAUCUUCACACCUUUACUGUAAUUUUCUACUUCUACUAUUAGAUGCUGAAGGGUUUUUUCUUGGAGAUUGCUUUACAAAAAAAAUUCUGAAAGAAGAUUUUGUCGAUCGGAUAGCAAGCUUAUCCAUAUAGUUUAAUGGAUUAUCUGCAAGAGCUCUUUUUAGUGCGCAUACAGUUGUCCCUUCAUGUUAGCAUAUUCAUUCUGUCGUCAAUGAACUUUUGCAUUUAAAUGGUAUCAGUUCAAGUGAUGAGUGAAUUUUACCUAUUGCGUAUCUUGGACUAAAUUUAAUUUUAAAAAAAUGAGUUUCCAGCUUAUGACUUAUACGUAUCUUGCACUUUGGUUUUACGAUCACCAUUGGAUGGAAGAGUGGCUUGAGUUUGUUAAUUGCUUCAGUCCCAGGACUAGUGUUUGGAAACAUAAACUUUAUCAGUUCAGCAACUAUAAAUCUGUUUCAUGAUUGUUAUUGCACACUAUUUCCUAUAUCCUUGUCUCCAUGCUCAUACUGAAUUAGUGGUGCAUUUGUCAUCUUUCGCCUUUCAUUAAAAUGUGCUAAUUAUUUUUUAUUUCAAUCGUAGGAUGGGAAGAUUGAUACUGAUUCCAUCUACAAUGGGUUUAAAGACAACGUGAGGUUAAUGUGGGAGCGUUUCUUGUCAUCCCAGCAAAUGUUGACAUAAACAACAGACUGCAAGCUUCCCCUACUCUCUGUUCAUAUUUGCAUUUGUGUGCAUCUUGUACUUGUUGUUGCAGAAAGAUGAAUAUGUAAGAAUAAGAUAGUGUUUGUAUGCAAUGGUCAAAUGUUUUUGCAAAAAAUGUCGUUGCUUGAGUUCCUCAAUUCUCAUUCUGAACUUCAAAUUUUGUACAUUUCUUUAACUUAAUUUUUUUUUCUGUGUAAUAGUAGUAUAAGUUUGGUAGUUUCUGUGUAAAGUGUUUUAUAUUUUCAUGUGUGGAAUAAAUAUCAAUGGCCAACAACAAUAAGAGUUUGAUUUUAUUUGUGAGACAUGUCUUUCAAAAUUAAGCUAGUGACAUACUUGGAUCACUUGGGAUCCACUUGCAAAUGUAUUUUGAAGAAAAGUUUUCUCCCCGCCUUUUAUGUAAUCACACCCACCAGUAAUAUGGUAAUUUAUUGAAAGGUCCUUGAUGCCCGGUAAAAGUUAUAAUUAAAUUAAUAAACUUAUCUUUUUAAAUUAAUAAACUCAUCUUUUUGAAUAUGUUCAUCAUUUUGUACGUAUAUUAGUUUUUUUUUUUUAAAUUCCUUUUAUUUCUAAACUAUUGGUUAGAAGCAAAUAUUUCACUGUAAUCUCCUGUCGACCAAAGGAGAUGCCUUUCCCAAAGCAAGAAAAGAAAACACAAAAAGCCCACUUCAAAAACUUGUGCAAGAAGGAGAUGUGAUUACGCUGUCUUUCUGUUUCUUGGUGCGUGUAUAGAUAUAUACAUACACACAUAAGUCUGAGGACCAGCUGAGCCAACAGCCCACUAGGAAGCAAUUUUAAAAUUUUUGGUCAGUAUUGUUCUUUAUAUCUUAUGAAUUUUUCCUUCAAUUAUUAUAUUUUCACUCAGUUUUGUUUUUGGGCACGCGUUAUGUGAUUUUCUUUUGAUGAUUUCCGUGGCUUCUUUUUAGCUCUUAUUUUACUGUUUCUACUGGUUAGUUUAGCUACUGUCUACUGAGAUAAAAUUAUUUGCUUGAAUAACUUAAUCUUUUGCUAUUUUAUUACGUUCAGUUUAUAUACAGUUGAUUCAUUGUAACAAAUGUUAUCAUAAAUGAUUCUUGAGUAAUUUCAUUUAUUUACUUUUUCUUCUUUCAUAGUUGGCCUGUACGGUAUCAUUUACUUUUAUCUUUUUUCAAAUUUCUUUUAAUCUACAGAAUGUUUGUUUUAGUCCUGAUCUUGGGUUACUGAAAUGUUUCAUUCCCUUUUCCUAAGUAUUUUUGUUGCUUGUUUAUCGGGCAAUACUGCAACAGUGAUUUUAAUUCACAAAAUUCUGUAAAUACUUAUUAUUCUUAGUGUGGUUUUAAGGUAGAGUGAAGUUAAUAUUAUCAUAAUGGCUUACAUUCCUCCACAUAUGAGGCAUACGAAGGACCCCCAGAGGCCAUCUCCAGUUCCAGAGAUGAUUGUGCCUAAAUUCAACAGAAAAUUAAACUUGGGAUCAUCCAAGCAUAAUGCAGACAUAAGUGGAAAGAUCGUGUAUGCAGAUCCUGCCAUACACAGGUGGUUCAUUUGUGGCUUGGAUAAUGAUAGCAGCAGUCCUUCUGUCCGCUUUGUGGAGUUUUCAGACGACCCUGUUGAGCAUAAAAAAUCGACGACCAUUAAUCUGGCUCGAGGUUACUGAUCUGCAUUUGUAAUUUUAUCUUAAAUAUGUUCUACUUUCUUUCUUUAUUUAUAUCUGGUGCUAACUUUAGUUAUAUUGACAUUUGGAUUUUGGGUUGGUAGAUAACGAUAAAUUGUGUGGGAAUACAUCAAGAAGCCCAUGGGAAUCGAUAGCAGAAAAUGUAUGGCCAGAUGUAUUGAGUGCUUGUAAUAUUGUCAAGAACGAAAUGGAGGAAAAGCCAACAAUGGUUGCUAGAUUUGGCCAUCAUCUUUUCCGUGAGUAUGUGAUCUGGUUCCAUUGCUGUAACAGCUUGAAUUUUUUAUUAGGUCAUUCCUUUUCUUUGGACUUUGAAAUUAAAGCAGCAAAAAUGCAUAUUCAUACUUAAUUCUGACAGAAAUCUUAUAGUCAUAUAAGUGGUGGCAGCUAAAAUUAUGAGCUUUACCAUUAACCCUACCACCAGCUGUGGAUGACUGUAAACCCUACCACCAGCUGUGGAUGACUGUAAAUCGGAUCUCUAAACCAGGGACAAAAGUUAAAAUUGCUUUUAAAAGCCAAAGAGGAAAAUGGCAAUUUAUAGUGCAUGCACUUCUUUCAGACUUGUAUCUCAUAGAAGCUUUCAUGGCAUCUGGAAUUUGGCUUUGGCUUUGCGUAGGACAUUUCAAUUGUUGCUGGUGGAAACAAAUAUAUCCAUUGUCUUAGUUUUGCUUGAUUUCCGGUGCAAGAAACAAAUAAAUUUGUUGCCGUGGCCAAGUUUUGUUGUUUGAUAUUUCAUUGGGACAACAAAGUAUACCACUGCUUCGCCUAUUUCUUACAUCUUUGCAUCAUAUAUUUCCAUUCUUCUAUCACAUCUUUGAAGCUUCUACUAGUUCUCAUAUUAGAAGCGCCUCAAAGAAAUAAUUAUUAUAUUAUUCGUCUUAAUGAAGGAGUGACAUACUGAGCUUAGAAAAUGCGAAAGAAGGUCAGGUUGCUGAAUCUGCUUUGAGCCCACUGAGGAGAUGCUUUUACACUGGUGUCCCUCCUACAUACAUGGGAAAAAUUGUAAAUGAAGUUGUGCCAAAAAUUGGGGUUGGUUUUGUAGAGAACAAGGAUAUAUACCAUGUCAAGGUAGUUCUCCUGCAGUCCUGCUAAAUACUUUAGUAGUCAUCACCAAGUUUCUUUUAUCUCUCACUUAAUUAGCCAUUGAUUCCCCCCCUUCUUUUUCUUGUGUAGUUGUCUGAUGGCACACGACAAAUUACGUGCAAAUGUACUGUUAAAGAAGAUCAAAAGCUUCAUCUCUAUAAGGCAAGUCUUUUGCUACUGGCUGAGUAUUAUUUAUGGACAACGGGUCCAAGUUUAUAAGUUGCCUCUUGUGUUAAGGAGACUUUUGCUAGUGGAAACAUUGAAACAAGACUUAUGAUGUUUUGAAUUGAAUGAUAUAAUCUUUUCACUGUGAAUUAUGAAGGAGAUGUCGAAUAUAAGCGAUAGAUAUCAAGAAAGAGACGAAACCUUUGUGUCUCAAAAGAACCUUUUAGAAGUCUCUCCAGGAAUAAUCUCAGUUAAGAGGAAAAGAAUUAAAAUGAAAAGAAGGAAGAAAAUUCUCAAGAAGUAAGACUAAUUCUACAUCUAAUUGAGGAACAGGCUUGUUAAUUUAACAAGGAAAGCUCCAGUAGCUAUUUAUUAUAAACCAAUUAAAAAUUGAAUUAAAUUAAUAGUUAACUUGUAAUUGAAUGUCUAAUCCAACAAACUAUGCAUAAGAUUACAGAUGUAACUAUGUAAUACAAAAAACCUCUGCUUAUUGUAGACCAAAGUGAAUAUGCCAAUAUUUAGGAAUUUCUUUCAGCAUCAUGGGAUUUAGAUCCCUAUAAUCUUUUUUUAUUUUAGUGUAGUGACGUCCGGAAGACCAGAAUUAUCACGUACCUCGUACUAGUCGUUUUAUUUAUUUUGUCUUUUAAAGCGCCACAUUAUUUCCCAUACAGUCAUAAUAUAUCUAUUUUUUGUUUAUUUAUCGUUGCCGUGUGUGGAGUCUCAUCUUGAAUAUGAACAUUUUUCCGGUAGGUCGAACUGAACUCUGUUCGUCACAUGGUAGCAGACAUGUUAUGCGUUCAUAAAAAUCUAGACCUGAGGUUGGCACUAUGUUCAAAGAGUACCUUAUCUGCUCUCUCGGUAAGUCAAUCUGCUCCUCCGUGCAUCUUUUAGCUGGACUUUUAAGUUACGCCUUCUUUUUUCCCCUUUUUAUUUUAUUUGGUCAUUUGCUUGUUGGAAUCAUCAUCAUUACAGAAUGAUGAAGAAAAAUUCAAGACCAGGGGAAAUAAGGAAAUAUUAAACUUAUAGCUUUUGUUUUAUCAUAGAAAGUUUACUUUCAAGGGCUUGAGAAAAAAUUUAUAUAUAUAUAUAUACACACACACAUACAUAUAUACACACACACAUACAUAUAUACACACACACACACACGACAAGCUUAAAACGGUUAAACAUUAGCAUGCAUGAUCCUUUUCUUCAAAACUGAAACUUUACAAAUGUUAAAAAUAGAAUAACAAAUAAAUUAUUAGAUUUCCAAAAUCAGUUACCGUUAUGCAGGCUUAAAACAAAAGUUAAAUAUAAGCUCUUUUUUUUUUUUUUGGGGGGGGGGGGCGUGUGUGCCUAUGAGUAGUCCCAGCAAAUGAAUUCUAUGAUCAAACUGAAAUUUUUGAAUUUUCAGGAUGAUGAAAUGAACAGCAUUAGAAUUCUGAUUAAUUCAGCCAUUCCGGAUCCGGAAGUCAAGGGUGGGUUAAGAUGGCCCAUGGGGAAGUCAUAUUCAGGGGAUUACACAAUUGUUGGGGUUUGGCACAAUGAAUUUAAAUCAUAUAAAAGCCCAUCACUAAAGCUUAAGGUAAGAAAUGUUGAUCGAUUUAUUUUCAAGACUGGAACUGGGGAAGCUACGAUUGAGAUUAAUCUAAAGUUGAGAAGACUAGUUUCAGAGAUUCAGGUACUUGCUGCUUUUUGCUUUAACUUUUAUCACAUAACCUACUAUCUUUGUGUAUGAUUACAUGGAUCUUGAAAUUCUUGCUGUUAUGUCAUAAUGUUAAUGCAUAUUUUGUCUUCACGCAUUUCUUACUGAACUUGUGUCUUGAGCUGUAAUUGUAAUUUCCAAUUUUUACUAUUAGAUGGGUAUUUUAUUGGAGAUUUCUUUACUUAAAAAAAAAAAAUGUUUGACAGAGAAUAUUUUAACGAUGAGAUUGCAAUAUUGUAAUAGAUAAUCUUCAGGAACUCUUUUUACCUUUUAGUAGUUAUGCAGUUGCUCCUCUGUGUUAGUUUAUUUAUUCUAUCAUAUGUAACGAAUGACUUUUUACCAAAUUUGAUUUCAAAGCUGAGCUUCCAGCUUAUGACUUAUAUUUGUGUCUUGCACUUUUGUUUUACAAUCACCAUUAGAUGGAAGAGUGCUUAGAGUUAGUUAAUUGAUUCAAUCCCAGGAUUAGUCUUUUGAAACAUAAAAUUUAUCGGCUAAGCUAUAUAAAUCUGUUUCAUGUUUCUUAUCGCACACUAUUUCGUAUGGCUUUGUCUCCAUGCUCAUACAAAAUUAGUGUUGUAUUAGAUGUCUUCUGUCUUUCAUUCACAUGUACUUAUUACUUUUUCUUUCAAUCGUCAGGAUGGGGAGAUUGAUACUGAUUCCAUCUACAAUGGGUUUAACGACAACUUGAGGUUAAUAUGGGACCAUUUCUUGUCAUGGGAGUCAUAACUUUUGACAAAAACAACAGAUUGCAUGCUCUCCCCGCUCGGUUCAUAUUUGCGUUUGUGUGCAUCCUGCAGUUGAAGAUGUAGAAUGAUGUAAAUGCAAGAAAAAGAGCAUGUUCGUAUCCAAUGGUAAAAUGUUUUUGCUAAAAUGUAUGGACUUGUAACAGUUUGUUGCGUGAGUUUCUCAAUCUCCUAAACCUCAAAUUUUGUCCUAUUUUCACCCCGGCUUUUUCCCCCCGUCCUCUGUAAUAGUUAUAUUUGGUAUAAGUUUGGCAGUUCCUGUGUAAAGUGUUUCAUAUUCAUGUGUGGAAUAAAUAUCAACAUCCAGAUACAAGAAAGUUUGAUUUUAUUUGUAAGACCUGUCUCUCAAAGUUAAUCUAGUGACAUGCUUGAAGCACUUGGGAUCCACUAGUUGGAUGUAUUUUUGUUAAGAUUUAUUUAGCAUUUUGUAUGUGUAUCAGUGCCUUUUUUUUUUGUUGUUAAACCGUUGGUUAGAGGGCAAAUAUUUCACAUUAAAGUGGGGUCUGCUUGCCACCAAGGGAGAUGCCUUUCCCAAAGCAAGAAACGAAAACUCAAAAGCCCACUUCAUAACUUGUGUAAGAAGGAGAUGUAAUUGACAUAUGCUGUCCUUUUUCUUGGUGCGUGUAUGUGUGUGUAUACACACUUAAUUCCGAAGAUCAACUGAGCCAACAGCCAAAACUUGAAAGCAAUUUUAAAAUUUUCGGUUAGUAUUGUACUUUAUAUCUUUUGAAUUUCUCUUUAAUUUAUUAUAUUUUCACUUUAGUUUUGUUUCUGGGUACUCUUUAUGUGCUUUUCUUCGAUGAUUUUGGUGAGCUCAUAUUUUACUGUUUCCACUGGUUAGUUUAGUUAUUGUCUACUAAGAUAAAAUUAUUUGCUUCAAUAACAUAGAGUAUUGAGGUGUUGUAAUUUAAAAUUUUAGAAAAAAAUAUAUUUAUAAAAUAAAAGUUAAUAGUAUGUGGUAAAUAUAAUUUUAAAAUAAUAAUUUUAAUAAAAUUAGUAAAGAUAUAAUAGAUUUUCAUCAUAUAAAAGUAAAAUCAAAUCAACUUAAUUUCUAAACUAUAUAAAUUAAUUUUUAUAAAACACUUUAGUGCUGUAACUACCCAACCUCAAUCUAAAGUAUAGCCUUAAUCGUUUGCUAUUUUAUUAUGUGAUUGUAUAUAGAGUUAAUUAAUUGUAUCAAAUGUCAUUAUAAAUGAUGCAUGAGCAAUUUCAUAUUGUUUUUCUUUCCUUCAUUGAUAAUUGGCUUGUCGGAUAUCUUUGAACUUUUUUUUUUCGCCUCAAAGUUCUUUUAGUCUGCAGAAUGUUGGUUUUAGUUUCGAUCUUGGUUACUGUAAUAUUUCAUUCAUUCUUUCUAAGCAUAGUGGGUUCAUUUCACAAAAUUCUGUAAUAAGUACUUAUUGUAGUUUAAGGUAGCGCGAAGUAAUAUUAUCGUAAUGUCUUACAUUCCACCACAUAAGCAGCAGUUUGUAAUCAAGACUGCAGAGAAUCUUGCAGAUAUGUUGACUAAGGUGGUGACGACAAUUAAGUUUGAGCAUUAUCUAAACUUGAUCAAUAUCUUACAAGUUUGAAAAUAGUCAGAGAAGACAGAGACUGGAGGAUGGUUUGUUGAUAGUCGGCUCAGAUUUACUAAAUUUUCGUUAAGGUAGAGAAUUGUUGAAAAAUCAAGCAUGCUUGCAUGAGCCAGCUAGCAUGCAAAUUUCAAGCCCACCAAUGUUCAGCUAGCGUGAUCCAAUUGCAUGUGCUAGCAUGAUCUCUUCAUCAAAAGUCACACCAAAGCCAUUAAAAUUGAAAAUGGCCAAAGUUUUUUUUUCAUGCAUUUAUAUUGUAAGAUUUGCCUAUAAAUAGAGGAGUAGAAUGCAUUUGUAAAGCAUCCCAAUUUGUGAGAAGUAGAGAGCAAUUGCAAGUGAGCUCUUUGAGAGAAUUUGAGAGAGCUUCCACUUGAGUGUUCUAGUGAGGUUCCAUUUAGGUGUAUUGGGGUUGUGGGUUUUGUGAGUUUUUUCCACUUUUGUAAAUUCUCAUUAUUAGUAAAAUUAUCUUCCAAUCUUUGCCCGUGGACGUAGGCAUUAUGCCGAACCACGUAAAUUAUUGUGUUUAUAUUUUCUUUGUAUUUGUUUGUCACAUUUAUAUUUCUCCAAAAGUUACAUUCAUCGUAAUAUUGGUAAUUGCUCAACCUCGCACUUCCGCAACAAUUGGUAUCAGAGCAGAAGGUUCGUGCUUGGGGCAUACAACAUUGUUCACGUAUACGGAACUGUUCACAAAUACGGUAUUGUUCACGUAUACGGUAUUGUUCAUUGAUAUGGUGGAGAUGGUCAUUUAUACUUGGGAGACAGUCUAUUGAAAGUAGUGUGUAUUUUUUCAUGUCUAGGAAAGUCCUGUCAACAAGGCGAUAAAAGCUUAAGGAGUCUGGUUUUAAGUGGGACCGUUGUGACCCCUCCAUUCUCCUAGGAACUUUCCUGGUGCAUUUAUUCAUGCGAAAUAAAUAUCAUAGAGGCUAUUUUUCAAGUGUAAAUAGUUGUUGAAGAAACUGAUCAUUUGAGAUAAAAAUGAUGGCAGAGGCAUCGUCGUCGUCUUCAUCAGCAAGGACUACUGUGACUAAUGCAAAGUUUGAAGUGGAGAAAUUCAAUGGUACCAAUAAUUUUGGCAUGUGGCAAUGUGAGGUGUUGGAUGUCUUAUGUCAGUAAGAGUUGGACGUUACUCUUGAAGAAAAGCCUGACAUAAUGGAUGACAAGGAGUGGAUAAAGAUCAAUAAACAGGUAUGUGGUACUAUUCGCCUAUGUUUGGCUAAAGAUCAUAAAUACUUUGUUAUAAAGGAGACAUCGGCAAAGAAAUUGUAGGAGACAUUGGAAGAAAAAUAUAUGAAGAAAAGUAUAUAAAGAAAAGCCUUAAAAAUAAGCUUUAUAUGAAGAAGAAACUCUAUCUAUUCACAUAUACACCUGGCAUGUCGAUGAAUGACCAUGUAAAUUCAUUCAACAAAAUAUUGGCAGAUUUACUAAAUUUGGAUGAGAAAUUUGAAGAUGAAGAUAAGACACUGUUGUUUUUUAAUUCCCUUCCUGAUGAAUAUGAUCAUCUCACCACUAAUUUGCUUCAUGGGAAGGGCAGUGUCACAUUCGAUGUUGUAUGCAGUGCAUUGUAUAACUCUAAGAUCAGAAAGAAAGAUAGAAAAGAUCACAGAGAUACAGUUGUAGAAGCAUUAACAACUAAAGGUCGUUCACAAGGCUGUAAACUUGGAAAAAGAAGCAAGUCUAAAGGGAGACCUGCCAAAGAUGAGUGUGUUUUUUGUCGCGAGAAAGGGCAUUGGAAAAAGAAUUAUCCUAAGUUACAAAAGGAUAAGGCUUCUUCUUAUGCAUGUGUAGCAGAGUAUGAUGAGGAGUCAGACUUUAGUCUGGUUGGCAUGACGUUGACAUGUUACUUAGAUGAGUGGUUUUUGUAUUCGAGUUGUGCUUAUCAUAUGUGUCCUAACAAGGGUUGGUUUUCUAACUUCAAGGAGCUGGACGGUGGAAUUGUUUUUAUGGGCAAUGACAAUGCCUGUAAAACCUUGGAAAUAGGUACAAUUCAAUUAAAUAAUCGUGACGGUUCAAUCAAAGUCUUGACGGAUGUUCACUACAUACCAAGUUUAAAGAAAAAUCUCAUCUCAUUAGGAGUCCUAGAAUCUAAAGGGCUCACAAUCACUCUGAGAGAUAGAUUAUUAAAGGUAGUAGCUGGCACACUAACGGUGAUGAAAGACACAAGAAGAAAUAACUUGUACUAUUUUCAAUGGAAUACAAUUAUUAGAUCAGCAUCAACAGUUUUUGGAAGAGAUGCAGAUUCAGAAGCAACCAAGUUGUGGCAUAUGCGUUGGGGACAUGCUGGUGAAAAAUCUUUACAGACUCUAGUGAAGCAAGGCUUAUUGAAAGGUGUAAAUUCUUACAAAUUAGAAUUUUGUGAACAUUGUGUUUUGGGCAAGCAGACAAUGGUAAUGUUUAGUUCAAUAAUUCACGAUACAAACUUCCUCGGGGGAGCAUUAAAACCUUCGAGCAGAUGUGCCAGGAAUUUACAGAGCAGUUUCGUGGGGCAAUGGCACCAGAAGAUGACAUGAUGGAAUUGAAAAACAUGAAGCAGGGGGAACAAGAAACACUUCGGGAAUUCAUCAAGAGGUUUCACCGUGCUGUCCUUGAUUUGGGAGCCUUCAACCAUCCUCAGGCAUUAAGGGGACUGAAAGAAGGGGUGAAGAUAGGAAGAUUGUGGUACAACUUGAGAAGCCCAGUUAUUCAGACGUACGCCGCCGCAUACGAGCAGGCUAAGAGGGACAUUGAGAUUGAAGUGGAAAAGGCAGCACGGAUCAAGACAGACCAGUUAGAUGGGUUGGGGAAGAAAGAGAAGAAAGCAUUGCCAGGGAACGGGCCGAUCAGGAGGAGAGACCUUCAGGCCUCAAGUAGUGGAGCAGGAGAUCGGGUAACUACUGGCCAUCCUCAUCAGAGGCCACCACAGUAUCGGCGCAGCAGGGCGCAACCUCCUCGUUCCCCAGCUAGGGAGCCUUGGAGAAGCCAUGACUCGGCAUAUGGUGGUCUUCAUCAACACUCCCACGGUAGUAGGGGGCAGACCAGAAGUGCUGCCACCGCCUCCAACUCAGAACGGAUCAAAUAGAGAAAGAGCAGUGCACCUGAUCAACCAGAACCAGGACUAUGGGCGGUACACUUCCUUGAAGAUGUUCCUGGACGAGGUGUACGAGGCCAUAAAGGAUCGAGGGUUGCUAUACCUCCCUGCCUCAAUAACAAAACUACCCAGCAGGAGGGAUAGGGGACGCUAUUGUAAGUUCCAUGGCGCGCAUGGCCAUACUACAACAGAAUGUAGAGAUCUCAAGACCCAGGUCGAAGAUUUAGUGAGAAAUCGAUACCUGGACGAGUUUAUAGAGGGGACUUUCCCGAUGGUGGCCUCGACAUGCGAGGGGGAGCAGAGUGGCAGAAAUUUGAGGCACGAGCAGCCUACAGUAAGGGUGAUUGCUGGGGGCCCGACAUUGGUUGAAGAUUCCAACAGAUCUAGGAAGAACUAUGCUAGAUACGCCAUGACUAGUAAAGAGGUAUUCUUCAACACCCCGGCAGCCAAACGAGCAAGAGUCAGGCAAGUGCCAAUCAUGUGGACAGACGAGGAUGAAAAAGGGAUUUUAUACCCACACGAGGAUGCCUUAGUCAUCAAGGCCACUGUUGCUAGCAGGAAGUUUGACCGGAUACUAGUCGAUACAGGAAGCUCGGUUGAUGUGUUGUUCAAGUCCACUCUGGAGGAGAUGGGAAUAGCAGACCUGAGGUUGGAGCACACCAACACCUCCUUGAAGGGAUUUGGAGGAGGAAAGCUGGUCCCCCUGGGUGUGGUCGAGCUGCCUAUCACAAUCGGAAGCUCCCCGACAGAAAGGACUAUGAUACUAGAUUUUGUGGUGGUUGAUGAAGAGGGUCCUUACCAGAUAAUCCUAGGUCGGCCGUUUCUGAGGAUGAGCAAAGCAGUACUGUCCAACCAUUAUCUUGCUCUCAAGUACCGGGUGAAUGGGGUAGUUGGAGUGGUACGAGGAGACCAGAGAAUCGCACGAAGCUGUUACUCCUCGACAGUAAGGGAAUCGAUGCAGAUAACAUCCCUUGAUACCCGAGCGGAAGCCAGGAAUGGCAGCUUAUUGGACCCGGAGUUUACAAGCUGGUUCGCACAGACGACCACGAGGUGAAACGCCCAUGGAACGCAGCACACCUCCGAAAAUACUUCCAGUAAGACUUGUUCACAUUUAAAAGCUAUUUCUGCUCGUGUUCAUUAUCGUUUAUCUUUUAUGUUUUAUAUCCAAACAAUUUCAUGUAAGUCGAAUCCUGCCAUUAAUGGAACGUCGAGGAAUUUCAUUCGCUUGAAACUGUGAAAAUUUCCUAAGGCAUGCAAAGGCUCGUCAAGUCUCAAAGCCUGUUUAUGGCGAGACCAGAAGCCAAGAGUGCCAGGAUCUGCUCGGCCACGAGAAGGCGAGCAGAAUCCCAAGCUUUGAAGAAAUUACCUAAGGCAUGCAAAGGCUCGACAAAGUCUCAAAGCCUGUUUAUGGCGAGACCAGAAGCCAAGCGUGCCAGGAUGUGCUCGGCCACGAGAAGGCGAGCAGAAUCCCAAGCGUUGAAGAAAUUACCUAAGGCAUGCAAAGGCUCGUCAAGUCUCAAAGCCUGUUUAUGGCGAGACCAGAAGCCAAGCGUGCCAGGAUCUGCUCGGCCACGAGAAGGCGAGCAGAAUCCCAAGCUUUGAAGAAAUUAUCUAAGGCAUGCAAAGGCUUGACAAAGUCUCAAAGCCUGUUUAUGGUGAGACCAGAAGCCAAGCGUGCCAGGAUCUGCUCGGCCACGAGAAGGCGAGCAGAAUCCCAAGCUUUGAAGAAAUUGCCUAAGGCAUGCAAAGGCUCAACAAAGUCUCAAAGCCUGUUUAUGGCGAGACCAGAAGCCAAACGUGCCAGGAUCUGCUCGGCCACGAGAAGGCGAGCCGAAUCCCAAGCUUUGAAGAAAUUGCCUAAGGCAUGCAAAGGCUCGACAAAGUCUCAAAGCCUGUUUAUGGCGAGACCAGAAGCCAAGUGUGCCAGGAUCUGCUCGGCCACGAGAAGACGAGCAGAAUCCCAAGCUUUGAAGAAAUUACCUAAGGCAUGCAAAGGCUCGACAAAGUCUCAAAGCCUGUUUAUGGCGAGACCAGAAGCCAAGCGUGCCAGGAUGUGCUCGGCCACGAGAAGGCGAGCCGAAUCCCAAGCUUUGAAGAAAUUACCUUAGGCAUGCAAAGGCUCGACCAAGUCUCAAAGCCUGUUUAUGGCGAGACCAGAAGCCAAGUGUGCCAGGAUCUGCUCGGCCACGAGAAGACGAGCAGAGUCCCAAGCUUUGAAGAAAUUACCUAAGGCAUGCAAAGGCUCGACAAAGUCUCAAAGCCUGUUUAUGGCGAGACCAGAAGCCAAGCGUGCCAGGAUGUGCUCGGCCACGAGAAGGCGAGCAGAAUCCCAAGCUUUGAAGAAAUUACCUUAGGCAUGCAAAUGCUCGACCAAGUCUCAAAGCCUGUUUAUGGCGAGACCAGAAGCCAAGCGUGCCAGGAUCUGCUCGACCACGAGAAGGAGAGAAGAAUCCCAAUCAUUGCAGAGAUUACCUAAGGCAUGCAAAGGCUCAUCAAGUCUCAAAGCCUGUUUUAUGGCAAGACAGAAGCCAAGCGUGCCAGGAUCUGCUCAACCACGAGAAGGCGAGCAGAAUCCCAAUCCUUGAAGAAUUGAAGGCAUGCAAAGGCUCGUCAAGUCUCAAAACCUGUUUAUGGCGAGACCAGAAGCCAAGCAUGCCAGGAUCUGCUCGACCACGAGAAGGCGAGCAGACUCCAAAGCAUUCGAAAAAAUUCCUAAGGCAUGCAAAGGCUCACCAAGUCUUAAAGCCUGUUUUAUGGCGAGACAGAAGCCAAGCGUGCCAGGAUCUGCUCGACCACGAGAAGGCGAGCAGACUCCGAAGCAUUCGAAAAAAAUUCCUAAGGCAUGCAAAGGCUCACCAAGUCUCAAAGCCUGUUUUAUGGCGAGACAGAAGCCAAGCGUGCCAGGAUCUGCUCGACAACUAGAAGGCGAGCAGACUCCGAAGCAUUUGAAAAAAUUCCUAAGGCAUGCAAAGGCUCACCAAGUCUCAAAGCCUGUUUUAUGGCGAGACCAGGAGCCAAGCAUGUUAGGGUCUGCUCGACCACGCGAAGGCGAGCAGAAUCCCAAGCAUUGAAGAAUUUUCAAAGGCAUGUGGCAAAACCAUGUGCCAAGCCAGAACCUGCUCGACCAGACAAAGACGAGCCGAUUCUCAAACGAAAAAUAACUCAUGAUUACAACACAAGAAAGUAAUCAAAAACAUUUUUAUUAAUUUGUUAAUAAUUAACAGAGGAGAUAAUCUUCACAAACAUUGUUCAUUACAAUACAAGAAACAUAUUUAAGAAGAUGGUGGGUCCGCAAGCCGAGCAUCCUCAGUUAGCUGGUCCACCUCAGGUGCUGGGGGAGUAUCUCCAGUUGCGUCUGGGGGGGUACUCGCCUCACCAGCAUCAGCAGGGAUUACACGGGGAGGAGAGUUUUCUUCUUCUAUCAGCAUUGGUGCCACCUCUUCGGCAUCCUCCUUUGCAGCCUCCUCGUCCAUAUGUUGGGCGACACCAGCUGCAAGGUCGUCCAUCUUUAGAUCAGGAUGCUGCUUCCCGAGGACGGCCAUGAUGCAACGAUAAGAAUGCCGAAGUCCCUGGUCGUACUGGUUGUCGGCCUCCUUCUCCAAGUUCUCGACCUGAGCUCGGUGGGAAUCGCGGAGGGAUUCGAGCUGAGCCUCAUACAUAGCGUUCUGCCUUUGAAGAUCCUCCUUGACCUUGGCCAGCUCUUCCUCGAGAGUAAUAGCCUUGGCUUGAGCAAGAGAUUCUCGCUCAAUCAACUUCAGAUUCUCGAGGUUUAAGUCCCCUGCUUUCUUCUCAGCAACGUCAGCUCUGGUCGUCGCCGACUGAAUGUCCUCCUUCAUCUUCCUGUCAUAACGGCCAACCUUGGCCUUAUAGUAGGUGGUCAUGCAGCUGAGAUGGAAAGCGCUAUACUGCAUGGCCCUCACCAGCUCGCCUAAGGUGCAGCCAUCAAAGUCCUCGAGGUCCUUCUUGCUCACGAUUUUGGAAAGCUCGUUGAGAUAGGGGGCCAAGUGUUCUGCUCGGCUGUCAGGUAAACGAGAUCUAUGCCCGACAGGAGGCGAAGAGGAAGCAGGAUCAGUGGCUGCUCCACUGGUCUCGCCGAGUUUGGCAGAAGGAGGAGGUAAAGUCUUCAAGGGAGAGACCUGCUGCACGAUGUUAGCCCGCUUUGCAGUAGGGGCAUCCUUGUUCUGGUCCCUCUUCGUGGUUUGGGGUCGAGAACGUUUCCUGUUUAGAGCCCCAAUCACGGCGUCCUCCAUCUUAUGACCAGGGAGUAUUAAGCGAGACUCGAGCAAGUUGUAUGUAGUUAUCAGCUCCCGGCUCGAGCAGGAAUUGGCUAGCACAGCCUCGACCCGUUUGAGCUGGCCAGGUUUGAGCGAGAAAUGAACACCCCAAGAAACUACAACACAAACAGACACUUGGUUAGAGACAAACCAACAAAGCGAGAACAAUUACGGAUACAAGACAUCUAAAGCGAGCAGGCAACCUGGGACCGUGAAACGGGGUGGGACGCGAUAAUCCUUCCCGUCUAUUUGUGCAACUUGACCCCAAGGACCCCCAGCAAAAAAGAAUUUCCUCUUCCAAUUCCCACCACCACCAGUAGGGAGGUCGGUUAUGGGUUUCCUGAUCUUGGUACUAGAUUGAAAGUAGUACCAGCCGGCAUCUUUGGGGCUGCUCUUUAGCUGGUACAGGUGCUUCACCUCAUCAACUGUGGGCUCGCUUUGGCAACAUCUGUCCCACAAUAUGAACAGACCAGAAAGUACUCUCCAACCAUUUGGGUUCAGCUGACCAGGAGAUAGAUUCAGCCCGUUAAGUAUCCGGGCAAAGUAAGGUUGCACGGGACACCUCAGCCCAUACUUAAAACUAUCCAGAUACAGGGUAACGUAUCCCCUAGGAGGCCGGCUAGGAGUAUCCUUCUUUCCUGGGACCUUAAGAGGGAUUUCACCAGGAAUACUAUACCUAAGCCGGAGGUCAUUGAGCUCAUCAAACGUGGUUAUGCAUGUCAUGUAAUCAAUAGCGUAAUCCCGCGAUAGGGCUCUACCUCCUAUUGUACUCCGCCCUUCUGGUCGCGACGCUCCUGAUGGGGACACCUCGCCAGAAUCAUCUCCUCGGCCCUCACUCAGGGUGUUCUCCGAGCCAGAAGACCCCUCUUCAUCACUAUCUCUGCUCGAGGAGGUCGUUUGCGGAGACAUCCUCCUAGCGCUAGUGCCGACACUAGAUCUAAUGGGCUCUAAGGGGAUCCCGGGGUCAAAAGCAGGAUCAGUGAGCAGACUAGGCAGGAAGUCCAACUCAUCGUCGUCAACCUCAAUGACCUUCUCUUUACCUUUCGACAUUCCCUAAACUCUAACCACAACACCACCACCAACUACUACCCGAACAAAAGAGAACAAAAAUUAUCUACAACUAUCCGAGACCAAGGAGAUAGAAGAAAUACCUGAAGUAAUGGUUCAGUCGGUGAAAGACAGAGAUGGAGGCCUUUAUGCCGGAACUUCUUUGCCGGAGAGACAGGGACGGAGACAGAGGGAAUGAUGAAUUUGCUGUUUGAAAGGAUUUAGGUUUCCUAAUGGGGACGGCCUCUUGGGUUGCCAGCAUUUAACGGCACCAAAUCCCAAGGGCCUCGUAACCGUUGGUUUGAAAUUCGAAUAGAGGGGCAGAUUUCUGCCACAUCACCUCGUCCACAAUUAAAUGCGAUAUGACUCUUGGCAGCCUUUUCCAGUCCCACGCGACCAAGAACCGCUAAGUUUCUACUGCUGGUCCAUUACAUUACCCAACACCAGAAACUGGGGGACCGGUGUUUGAGGGAAAUACUCUGACGAGACCAGACGUGAUGAGCAGAUGUUUGGUGGUAGAAGUCUGCGAGCAGGUGUGUCCUGUAAGAGCCAGGUAGCAGGGGAACAGGGGCAAGAAUAUCCUGCUCAUCCACGAGCACGUCAUCCGCGAGGCCAAUUUCCUGUAAGAAGCAUAAAGCCAUUCCUGCUGUAUUCUUGCUAAGGGUUGAUUCGAGGAGACCCGGUCAACGACAGUUGGCGAGGCAUGCUCUCCAGCCCGAGAAUCUAGGCACGAAGGCCACGCAACCACCCACGACUACGGAAAUGGGGAAUCCACGUUCGAGAGGUGGGAGGAUAACGGACGUAGACUGCGAAAAACUGGGAUUCAGAGGAAGCCUAUAAAAAGGUAGCCAACGAAGGUAAAAGGGUUAACAAUUUUGAGAUUAGAAGGGAGAUAAAGAAAUUCUAAAGAAGAGAAAACUACCCAAAAGCCAUAAGAUCUGUGGCAAGCGUUCCCCGAACCUUCAUAUCUGACUUGAGCGUCGGAGGGUUUGCGCCGGGAAAACAACCGGCGUACUCUGACUUGUCUGUGUGCGCAGGAACCUCUGGAGAAGAAGCUUUACGAGGAGAGAUCCUGGUCGUGGUGAAGUUGAUCGAGCAGAGACCCUGGUCGUAGAACGAGGAGAACCAGAAUCUCGCAUCAACAAAACGUAUAUUUCAACCUGAGUACUAGCGAUUACCAGCGACUGAUUAACACUUGUUUUAAUUGUAUUCAGCAGUCAUAAAAAUUUACUUUUUCUUGUAAUAUAUUUAUACCACUUGUAAUAUAUUUAUACCACACAUUUUGACUACCACAAACUUAAGUUGCUUGGCUGACGUAUUUACCACAAAUAAAAACUAACAUUCGAGGUUUUUCUUUCGACAUUUCUAUAGAUGUUUUAACAUUUUAGAUUACAAUAUUUUUCAAAACUUGAUUUAGUCACUGAUUGUUGACUACGACGACGACAAAAAAUCUAUUUCGUUGUGAAAAGGAAUCCACAAGAGUACAAGACGGAGCCUUGAUCCAGUAAUAUUACGGAAAAUGGUAUUUUGUUUCCUUACAAAUGAAGAGAGGUUCUGUCUUUGCAGUGGGUAAGGUGAGGGUAUAGAACAUAUUAAUGGCUUUACUUAUCAUCAUCAACUUCCUUCUGUGUCUCUCAAUCUUUGUCUUCUUCUUUGUUUUGCAAAGGAACAUAACCUCAAGAAAUAAUACUAAAUUACCACCAGGCCUCCGGGGCCUUCCUUUCAUCGGUAACGUGCACCAGCUUGAUGUCUCAAAGCCUCACGUGUUAUUUUGGGAACUGUCAAAAAAAUAUGGCCCCCUCAUGUCCUUGCGUCUUGGGUUUUCGCCAUCCUUAGUAGUUUCCUCGGCGAAAAUGGCUAAAGAGAUAUUACAAACCCAUGACCUUCAAUUUUGCAGCAGGCCAGCCUUGGUAGCACAACAAAAGUUAUCUUACAAUGGUCUUGAUUUAGCGUUUUCACCCUAUGAUGAAUAGUGGAGAGAGAUAAGAAAAAUUUGUGUCAUUCAUCUCUUUAACUCUAAUAGGGUACAAAAUUUUCGACCCAUUAGAGAAGAUGAAGUUUCAAGAAUGAUUGAAAAGAUUUCAAAAUCAGUUGGUGCUUCUAAUCCCGUAAACUUAAGUGAGGUAAUGAUGUCUCUUACCAGCACCAUUAUUUGUAGAAUUGGUUUUGGCAAGAGGUACGAUGAAGAUAAAGCAACAAGUGGAAGAAGUAGAUUCCAUGCCCUGCUUAAUGAAACUCAAGCCUUGUUUGUAAGCUUUUUUGUUACAGAUUAUUUUCCUUUCAUGGACUGGAUUGAUAACCUCAGAGGAAUGAUGAAACGCCUGCAAAAUAACUUCCAAGAACUCGAUGGAUUCUACCGGGAACUCAUCGACGAGCAUUUGGAUCCAAACAGAACUAAAUCAGAAUUGCCGCAACAGGAGGAUAUAAUUGAUAUUUUACUUCAAAUAAGAAAAGAUCGUGGAUUUAAAGCUGACUUGACUUUGGAUCACAUCAAAGCAGUGCUCAUGGUGAAUAAUUUUAUAAAUAGUUAUAUGUAGACCGGUGCUUAGGCACAGACUCAAAAUUUUGCGCAGAUACCCAAUUUUACAGUCUUGUAAAAUGUUUUAUAGUGCUGUCAAGUGCUCUCUGAUGUCCCCAUCUGAGCACGAUUAACUUAAUAUAGUUUUAUUUGCUUUAACUAAUCUUAUAUGUAUAUAUUUUUGUUCUUUUUUUUUUAAUUUGCUUUUUUAAGUAAUUUAAUAUGUAUAUAUGUAUGUUGUUUGUUUGGCAGAACGUAUUCGUUGCUGGAACAGACACGAGUGCUGCAACUGUGGUUUGGGCCAUGACCUAUCUAAUGAAGAAUCCUAGAGCAAUGAAAAAAGCUCAACUGGAAAUCAGAUCGCUGAUUGGGGGCAACAAAGG